ACUGUUGCUCUUGGUAAAUUUACCAAAGAUGAAAAUGAUUUAUUUGAUAUUAUGUAUGACUGGUUACGUAGGGACCGUUUCGUUUUUGUAGGUUGGUCCGCCCUAUUGCUCUUUCCCUAUGCCUAUUUCGUUUUAGGGGGUUGGUUUACAGGUACAACCUUUGUAACUUCAUAGUAUACUCAUGGAUUGGCCAACUCCUAUUGGAAGGUUGCAAUUUCUUAACCGCCGCAGUUUCUACCCCUUCUAAUAGUUUAGCACAUUCUUUGUUGUUACUAUGGGGUCCUAAAGCACAAGGAGAUUUUACUUGUUGGUGCCAAUUAGGUGGUCUGUGGAUAUUUUUUGCUCUCCACGGGGCUUUCGGACUAAUAGGUUUUAUGUUAUGUCAAUUUGAACUUUUGUGGUCUGUUCAAUUGCGACCUUAUAACGCAAUUGCACUCUUUGGUCCAAUUGCAUGUACAAUAUUUUAGAAUUUGCAUCAUGUUUUCGAAAAUGUUAGAAAUCAAAGUAUCUUGGUCCUUUCUUAUGACUUGAUCCCGAAGGAAAUUGAUUAGAAUUUUUUUGGUAAAUCGUUAAUUUAUCUAGUGUUUAACUAUAUUUAUUUACAAUUUUACUAGAUUGAAAUUUUAUGAUGUUUAAAAAUUUAUAGAUCCCAUGUUACAUUCAGUAAAAAUUUAUGAUACAUGUAUUGAGUGUACUCAAUGUGUCCGAGUCUGCUCCACCGAUAUGUUAGAAAUGAUACCUUAUAAUGGAUGUAAAGCUAAGCAGAUUGCUCCCAAAGUCUGACUACUUAUGAUUAAUUUCUUUACCACCACCUUUUUCAAUCUUCACAAAGUCAUUUCAUUGUCAUAUAAGUAGAAAAUGUAUGUAUAUUUGAAUAUUGAUAGGUAAAUCAAAGUAGAUGAGAAAUAUGUAGCCAAAUCAAGGAUAAAUGUAUAACUUUUCUUCAAAUUUUAACAAAAAGUAAAUAAAAAUAAUAUUUUUUUACUUCUAAAUUAAGCAAUUAGAUUCACUUUGAUACUUUUAUCUUUUACAUCCAUUUUGAUACCUAAAUCUAACAAUUAAAUAUAUUUCAAACUCUAACAGGGAAAACAUAAGAACACCAAAAUGGGUUCGUUGCCUUCACUACUAGACCUAAGAUUAGGCGUGUUUAAACGGUUAAUCGAAUUGAACUAGUAUUAACUAAAUUAAUCAAACUUUUUUAAUCGUUUAACCAUUAAUUGUACCGAAUUUUUUUCAAAAAAAUUAACCAUACUAAAAUAUUUUGGGUAAUUUGAUCGGUUAACAGAAAUUUAUAUGUUUUUUUUUGUUAAAAAAUAUAAAAAUAUAUUAAAAUAAAUAAAUUGAUAAUGUUUAUUUGACUGAAUUAAUCGAAUUAACAAUAGAUUAAUACAUAUAAUAUAUAAUAUUAUUUAUUAAAUUUAUUUAAUUACUCGAUUUCAAAUCGAAUUAACCGUUAACCGAAAUUUUAAAACACUUUUAACUGACAUUCAAAAAAAAUAAAUCGAUUAACUGAAUCAAAUCGGUUCAAUCAAUUCAUUUGAUUUUAAUAGAAGUUUGGAAACUAGAGAUUGAUAUAUUUGAUGGGGCUGAAUAAAAGAAUCUGGACAUCUUUAUUGCUGAUGAUAAAAAAUUAGAAAUAGGGUGUGCGUGGCAAACAUGGCCCUGACGUAUAGAAUUAUUAUUUAAUAUCGCUUUUGUCAGCUUUGUGGAUAAAUUUUUCAAACCCAAAAAUAUUGAAAAGAAGAUUUGCCUAGCGAAAUAAUGGGAAAUGAUUGCACCAAAUCCACUUAGAAAAUGCAUUCAUUGCUAAAGCUGUCACAUCUUAUAUAAUGUUAUGUACGUACUCAAGGGGAGGUUCUUAAUCCUAAAAUUUUUCAUUUUCUCAAAUGAUAUUAAUUUUUUAUUUACAUAAUUAACAUUAAUUUUAUAAUAUUUAAAUUUAUAAUUCAAACAAUAUAUAAAUUUAAUUAUAAAAAGACUUAUAUUAACUUAUAUUCCUUUUUAUAUCUAUUUCAAUAUUGACAAUUUUAUAAAAAAACAAAGUGUAUAAAAGAUUAUUAGUUUUGUUGUACAUUUUAUAAUACAAUUAUUGUUAUGCUAAUAUUGCAAUAAAUAAUAUCGUGUCAUUUUAAUUAAAGUAAACACGUAUUUUCAAUAUAUUACACAUGUUAAUUAAUUAUUAGUUUUAGUUUUUAAAAUCAGACAAUAAUAAUAGUAGAUAUUGAAUUAUUAAAGUAAACAUGACAUUAUUAAAAAAUUAAUAUUUUCGUCAAUAUUAUCAUUAGGAAAAAUAAUUCAACUCAAUUUUCAAGGAUUGAGGAUAAAAUUUAACUAAAAAAUAACAAAUUGAUAAUAAAUGUAAUUAUUAAUAGCGGAAGUUGACAUUAUGCUAGGGAUACCACGAUAGGCAGCUUGCAAGUGAUCAUAGGGUACUGCUCUUAAUCUACAUAAAAAUGCGAGAAAGGAAGUAGCAGAGGAAGAAGGUUAGUGAGAGAGAAUAAAACCCCAAACCAUUAUUAUGGCUGAAAUUAGCAGCUUAAGAAUCGAUCCCAGGAGUGGGUUUUGUUCUUCCAAUUCUACUUUCUACAGCAAACGCGUUCCCUUUCCACUUCCAUCCAACCACGCCCUUGACAUCACUACUUUUAUCUCCUCUUACCCUCACCAUGGCAAAACCGCCUUCAUCGACGCCGCUACCGGUCGCCACCUCUCCUUUUCCCAACUUUGGCAAUCAGUUGACUCCGUUUCCACGUGUCUGUCCGAGUUGGGUAUUCAGAAAGGCAACGUCGUCAUCAUCAUCGCACCAAACUCCAUCUUCUUACCCAUUGUUUGCCUCUCUGUGAUGUCUCUUGGAGCUAUUAUAACCACUAGCAACCCCCUCAACACGUCUCGUGAAUUCGCGGUACAAAUGGCUAAUUCAAAGCCCGUCCUCGUCUUCACCACCGCUCAAGUCGUCCCAAAAUUGGCUGGAUCACCUCUCCCCGUCGUACUUCUCGACGAGCAAGUGGCGACCGAAAAAACAGGCCAAGUCAAAAUAGUUACUACUAUUAGUGAAAUGUUAAAGAAGGAAACAAAGGACAAGAUCCGAGUCAAGGAUCGAGUGUACCAAGAUGACGCGGCGACUCUACUCUAUUCCUCGGGCACGACGGGUGCCAGCAAGGGAGUAAUAUCAUCUCACAGAAACCUCAUGGCUCUAACGCAAAGUUUUUCAAAUUUGAGCAAUCCAGAGAAAGGGGAGCAAACCCAUAUCUGCGCCGUUCCCAUGUUCCACAUCUACGGCUUCGGAGCUUUUGCCAUCGGGAAACUCACGCAAGGAUCAAAAGUAGUUAUUUUAUCAAAGUUCGACAUGAAGGAAAUGCUGUCGGCAGUAGAGAAGUACCGUGUCACUUGCCUCCCCCUGGUGCCACCUAUACUCUUGGUAAUGGUGAAGGAAGCUGAUGUGAUACGAAAGAAGUACGAUUUGAGUUCGUUGCAAUCAAUAGUGUGCGGUGGCGCUCCGUUGAGCAAGGAUUUGAUAAAUAGGUUUAGGGAAAAGUUUCCAAGCAUUUAUAUUCGGCAAGGGUACGCGAUGACAGAAUCGACAGGGUUUGGCGCAUCAAUGGAAACGCCGGAGGAGUGUCUCAAGUAUGGCAGUGUGGGGUUGCUAUCGCCCAACUUGGAAGCCAAAAUUGUAGACCCUACAACUGGUAUGGCCUUGGAGGUCAAUCAGAAAGGGGAGCUUUGGGUAAGGGGUCCCUCCAUUAUGAAAGGUACGUAAUUUGAUGAUCAAUCAAUUUGACGCCCUUUUAGGUGAAGACACUGAGUGUGUCCCCAUAUUGCGUAUAUUCAAGUAUGUCGAUUGCAAAGAUCUUUGCUUUGGUUUUAUUUUUGGCAGUUAUUUUUAACCCAAGGAGAAAGAUCUUUGCAAUUAAUUAAUUAUUUUAUAAAAAGAAUAAACAAGAACACGAAAUCCACUUAAAAAAUGCACUGCUGUCACAUCUAAUAUUGAUAAUUAUUUUAUUUAAAGUAUAUAUUUUGCUAACCAUUUCAAUUUCAACCAGCAUAUGAGUAAAUUAUUAAUAUUAAAAUUACAAAAUGCUAUAAUCAUUAAAUUAUUUUAAAGCUAUCCUUUUAGUCAUUACCUUCUUAACGGCCAGUUUGACACACAAGUAUAAUAUAUUUAAUAUCCACGUAACUAUCUAAUGGUCUUUUUAUAAAUUUUUAAUUUUAAUAAUUAAAAUCUGAAUUUAUUAAUAAUUUAGUAUUUGUAAGUAUAAUUUACCCUAAUUUUUAUUACUUCAUUAUAGUUUCACUACAACAAAACAGGUUUUUAGCGGCGCUUUUUUGGCCUUUAGCGGCGUUUUUUAGCGCCACUAAAAGUAUUUGCGGCGCUUUGAGAAGCACUGCUAAAGUUAGCAACGCUGUCAUUAGCGGCGCUUUUUCCACAAACGCCGCUAAAGACCAUGACAUCUAGCGGCGCUUCCCCACAAACGCCACUAAAGACCAAGACCUUUAGCGGCGCUUCCCCACAAACGCCGCUAAAGACCAAGACCUUUAGCGGCGCUUUUCCCACAAACGCCGCUAAAGAUAUUGAGCUUUAGCGGCACUUUUUCCCACAAACGCCGCUAAAAAUAUAUCUUUUAAAAAAAUAAUUUUUUUUCAAAUAAUAUUUAUUUCUAUGAUAAAUAUUAUAUUAUGUUUUAAGGAUAAAUAAAAAAUAUUAUUUAAAUUAAAUUUUCUACGAAAAUUUUAACUUUAAAACUAAAUAUAAAUAUAACAAUUAAUGAAUUUAAUUUUAGAAUUUAAAAUAAUAAAUUAAUAACACAAUUAAAAUCCAAAAGUUAGACCACUUAAGUAAAAAUACAAAUUUAGAAUCAAAACUAAAAUAAAUAAUACAUAUGCAAGGUAAUAAAAUAUACAAUGCAUUUUCUUAAUCAAGUAAAUCUUGGUAAUAAAAGAUAUAAUACAUUUACUUAAUCAAGAAAAUCUUGUAAUGAACUCAAAGCAAUGAGCCUUGAAAAACUUUUGAGCAUGGCUUCAAAUUUGAACCGCAAAUUUGGCUCCUACAUGCUCUGCAAGAAAAUAAAAGUAACUUAAUCUGUUCAAACCAUAGUGAACAUGGCAAAGAUACGUAAAUCAAUUCAACUUUUUAAGAUAGUUUUAUAAUGUUAUAGUAAAUUAGGUGUCUUAUAAUGUUAUAGUAAAUUAUUAAAAAUACAUCUAAAAAAUAUAUCUCAACUUUUUAAGAUUAUUUGUGGAAUAAAAAAAGUACACUACUGAUAUAUCUACUCACUUAAGUCAAUAUAGGUGGAAAGUAUUCAUCAAUAUAAAUUUAAAAUAUUAGAACAUAUCAUGCUUAAAUUCCAAUUAAACCCUUAAGCCUAUAUUCUUAAAUUCCAAUUACCAUCAACAAUUGCAGAAUCUCCUAAUUAGCUUCUUUGUAGAAUAUUUGAACAUGAUAUUCCAUAGUCAGAAUACAUACAUCAACAGGUUAAAUCAAAGUAUUAGAACAUAUCAUGCUUAAAGAUAAUAAUUAGAUUUAUCUAAAAUCAAGCCCGAUUUAACUAGUACUAAGUAAACCUAUUUCAAGUUUUUUUUUUCUGGGCAGCCCAAUUUUUUGAAAAAUUUAGAACAAACCUCAAGUAAGCAUAAGUGAACGUUAUGGGAUCCUUUUUGCCAUGCAGAAAACAUAAAACAUUAGUUCAGAGAAGAUAUAUACAAUUAAAAAUACAAUAAAUAAUAAAACAGAAGAGUAAUUUUACUAUUGAAGUGUGAUGAACUUGAAACUCAAAGCAUACAGCACAAAUGGUGAUGCAAGAAAUUCCUAAUCAGAGUGUUUUACAAAUGUUUUCACUUCUAGAAUUUGUUAACACUUUGAGAAAUAUAUAGGUGUUUGAUUUACCCAACAGCUCUGCCCAUGAUGUAUUUUUGUUGCAACCAACGAUUACUAGAUGUGUACAACAUUCUGUCAUCGUAGAGAUUAGCGUCUCCUGAUGAAUAUGUCCAGUCAAAAAAUUAAAAAGGUUAGCAUACUCAAGCAGUAGCUGUACAUAUGAAGAUAUUUAAAGAAUGAUCAACCACACACACACACACACAUAUGAAAAAAUGAGAAGAACUUGGAAUGUAUUUAAGACCAUUCCACAAGUAAACAAACAAAACUAUUUGGAAGUGUCCACUCUCCACUUCAUUGGUGGGGAAAGAGAUUUUAAUAGUCAGAAAAUAUUUUCAUGAUUGAUAAUAAAAAGUUUAAAGUUCGUUGAAAACAAACAAACAAACCACAACUUGUAUUUGCUCACAUUCAACUAGCUUGAUAUCAAGGAUAUGCUACCUUUAGUGAGUAUAUCAGCUUCUUUACUAUCUCGCUGCUCAUGAACCUGACAAAGCAUAACCAAACAUGCAAUGUACUAAAUCCAGCAUACAGAAUAACCAGGCGGGGACCCGUUAAUUCAAAUAAUUUACAGCCAUAACACCUAUAUAAAUUUCAGAAAGAAAAUGGUCAACCACUAGUACACAGCUCAUGAACAAGACUGUUAGAGUUGACCAUGGUGUUAACCUUAUCAAAACUAUUUGUUUCUACUUUCUAGAGAUUUUUUACAUCAGAACAUGAGAACCUUCUGUCACUUGUCGUUCAAGCAGUUCAACAUUUGGCAAAUUUAAAUUUAUAUGACUAUCACAAAUCAAAGCUCAAAAUUUUUAAAUACUUAAUUUUAGAUACAUGUAAAAAAUUGGCUCACUCGUUUGAAACUGGGUUUCAUACUCCCAGAUAGCACAACCACCACCGGCGACUCGCUCCCAAUAAUGCAAAUCAAUCCUUUCCAUAUUAUCAGUGCCGAUGAAAUAACCAUUCCUUAACGAGAUUUAAACUAAAAAUUUCAAUCAUUAUCCGAUGGAAUUUUUUGAAGUAUAAAGGGAUUUUAAAGAAUUAAGAGAAAAGUGGAAACGCACCGAGGCUGAUGGCUUGAGAGAGAAUUUUUCUAAUAUGAGUUGAUUUCAUAUUUUCUUCAAUCCACCCCAUUGGAGAUCAAUGCUUUUCUUGUCUUAACGAUUUACAACACGCUGCAGGCUGCAAAAUAAGAAUGGAAAUGAGAAAAGUAACAAAAAUAAGAAACCUGCAAAAGGAAAAAAAAAAAGAAAGAAUAAUGCGCAAACAUAACAAGAAUAAUUUAAACAUACUCGAUUAGUUUGAGACGUAAGCUUAAUUUGAUUAAUUCCUCUAAAUCGAAUUCAUUUUCUAGUCCGAGUAAAUCCAACAAUUAGAUUCACUUUUAAUGCACAUACUGAAUGCACCUAAUAAAAAUGAUUAUAUAAAAAAAAACUUACAUGAAUUAUGUACCAAUUGCAAAUGUUAGGCAAGAAGCUAAAGCCAACAAGGAGCCUAAGACUUGAUCGCCAACAGUAGCAUGUUUGGUGCUAGUAUGAUGGUGUCCACCAUGUUUGACUAUGUUUAUGUUGGUUGACCAAAGAUUAAGUUCUUGAAUUAUUUUGGUAUCAAAACCUAUACACUAAAAAAAAAAACAGAUUAUAUGAGGAAUUGUGAAAGUUACCUUUCAAAGAUGAAAGCAAGUGGAGUUAUACAAGCAGUGGCGAAGAUGAAUCUGUAAGCAAUGAGUGCUCUCAUGCUCAUUCCCUCAACCACGGCCAAUUUAUAGAACGCAAUCACACCUACAAAAUAAAAAUCAAUCAUCCAAGAAAAUAAAUACUGGGUCACAAACACCAAAAAGCUUCUGGUUACUCAAAGGGUCUGAAAGUUGCCUUUGGCUUCUGAACCUCUAAAACUGGACUGUAGCACCAAGCUCCUCUUCCCCCGAAUCACUACUAAAUCGCAGCGUAAUUGAAGUUCAAUCUUUUCGAUAUUUCUUCUCCUCAGCUGAUGGUCGAUUGGCCUGACACUUCCCCCGGGUGGGUGACUGCCCUUAUCGUGAUUUCCUCCUUCUUUCGGGUAAAGGUUAGAGUGAUGAAGGGAAGGCUCGAGGUCGAGGUGGAGCACCCACCAUUCCCUCUUUUAGUGUUAUCAAGUCUUCUGUGGAGGUAGGAAGCCAGCUUCUCCCUUAUUUGACGCUUCGCUUCAACAUGAUUUAGAGGCUCUUCUCUUCCAUUAGUCGGUUUUCUCCCCUGUUUUCGAGGCCUCUUUUCAGGCUCUACGACUCGACUACUAUCGGCCUCCUUAACAACGGAAGCUUCAAGAUCAGAGUGAUCUGAAUCCCCGGCACCCUAUUUGAUUUCACCACACCAGAUGAAGGUAAAAUUACACCUGAAGUAAACGAAAGCAUAGCUUCUUCGUUGCUCCCUCUUGAAUUAGACGACCUCUUCUUGUUCUCCACGGCGAACGGAGAGUUUCCUGUGAACAAAUUCCCAUUCCCACUUCUCUUACUCUCACCAAAAUUCAAUCUCUCUCCAGAUUCAGGUUUCAACAAAUGAGAAGAUGAAUUCCCAUUCCUCACACUGCUACUCUCAUCAAAGAAGAUGAAUCGUCUUUGGUGCCUCCAUUUUAGGGGGAAAUUUGGGGUUUUUUCGUUUUUGGGUUUUAGGGGGAAAUAUGGGAAAAAAUCAGCGCGAAAUUUUUUAAGUAAAAUGAAUUUUGUGGCGCGCCACUAAAAAUAAAAUUAAAUUUCUACUGUAAAACUUCACAUUUUGAGAAAUUCAAUGCGUAUUUGCGGCUUGUUUCAUAAAAAAGCGCUAUUGCUUACCUUUUGCGGCGUUUUUCUCAUAAACGCCGCUAAUUAUUGACUUUUUCUUACAAUUUUAUAUUUAAUUAUUAUAUAAUUCAUAUCAAAUUUAAAUAAAUUUUGAAAAUUUAAGUAAUAUUUAAAAGAAUUAGAUAAAUUUUAAAAUUUUUAUAUAAUUUUUUAUGUAAGAAAACAAAAACAAAAACAAAAAAUUUUAAAAUAUGAAAAAAAAACUUUAAAAAACUAUAUUAAUGAUAAUUUUAAUAAAUUAAAAUUCAUAUUAUCUCUUUUAUUGUUAAUCUGUUACAUUAAUUUGUUACAUUAAUUUAUUUAUUUAUCAAUUUUUUCAAAAAUCUAAUAUUUAAAUAUAUCAAAUGAUUUAAAUCAUUUAAUCUAAAUUUAGAUUAAAUAUUUUUAAAUAUAAAAACAUUAAUUAAUUGUAUAAAAUUUCAUCAUUUAACAAAUCUAUGGUAAACCUUAAAUCCUAAACCAUUUAAUAUGUAUAAAAUUGAUCUAUUAUCUCUUAUAUAAUUUAAACUAUAAUCAUAAUUUUAAUAUAUUAAAAUUAAUAUUAUCUCUUUUACAAUUAUAUAAGAAAUUAUUUAAUAUAUAAAUUAAAAAAUACCAAUUAAUCUAAACCCUUAACCCCUAUCUCUUAAACCCUAAAUCAUAAAACAUAACCCCUAAACCCCUAACCCAUCUUUUACAAUUAUAUAAAAACUUAAUUAAUAUAUGAAUUAAAAAAAUACUAAUUAAUCUAAACCUUAAACCCUAACUUGACCCUAAAUCUUUAAACCCUAAAUCACUAACUCUUGACCUCUAACCUUUAACCCCUAACCCCUAACCACUAACCCCUAACCACUAACUACUAACCCCUAAAUCUUAUUUAAUAUAUAAAUUAAAAAACACUAAUUAAUCUAGACCCUAAACCCUAACCCAAAUCCUUAACCCCUAACCCCUACACCUUAUUCAAUAUAAAUUAGAGCACACUAAUUAAUCUAAACCUUAAACCCUAACUUGACACUAAAUUCAUAAACCUUAAACACUAACUCUUAAUCUCUAACCCCUAACCCCUAAAUUACAACCCUUAAACCAGAAUCCCUAAUUCCAUAAUCUAUAAACCUUAAAAUUGUAAUUCCUAAACCGGCCUUAAAUCCUAAAUUAACCAUAUACCCUAAAUUAUAUACCCUAAACCAUAUAUAUUAAACCCUAAACUAUAAUGUUAAUUAAUUAAAUAUUUUAAAAUUAAUAUUAUCGUAUCUUUUACAAUUUAAGUUUUAUGAUAUUUUAUUUUACUCAUAAUUUAAUAUAUUUUUCUAGUAAAGUAGUUUAAAUAAACUGUGAUUGAAAAAUAAUAAUAAAUAGUUAGGAGUUAGGACUUCUCUUUAAUAAAAAAAUUUUGUAUUAAAAAAUAUUAUUUGUUAUCAUUUAAAUGUAAAUAUGACCAAUAUAUAAUAAAUACAACGAAAUAUCUAUUUUUUUAACUUAUAAUAAAAAAAUAUAAUUGAAACAUUACUUGAGAAUAUAUCAAAGAAUGAGAUAAUUGAGAAUAUAUCAAAAGCGGGCAUUAGCGGCGCUUUUUUAAAAACGCCGCUAAAGGCCUAAGCAUUAGCGACGCUUUUUAAAAAAUGCCACUAAAGGCCCGAGCAUUAGCGGCGCUUCUUCCAAAACGAAGCUAAAGGCCCGAGCAUUAGCGGCGCUUAUUCAAAAAAGCCGCUAAAGGCCCGAAAACUAGCGGCGCUUAUUCAAAAACGCCGCUAAAGGCCCGAAAACUCAAAACGUUUGGCUUAGGUUUUUUGCGGCGCUUUUUGGAAAACGCCGGUAAUGCUUAUUUUUAGCGGCGUUUUCCAAAAAGCGCUACUAAUGCUCGACCUUUAGCGGCGUUUUUAUAAAAGCGCCGCUAAUGCUUGAUUUUUAGUGGCGUUUUUUAUCCAAACGCCGCUAAAAACCUAUUUUGGUGCAGUUUAAUGAAAUUGGAUCAAAAUCAUUAGCUUUGAGUACUUUAUUAUGUUUAACGAAAUUGGAUCAAAAUCAUUAAAAUGGACAGAAAUUUCAAUUUAUCAAGAUAACAUAAGAAAAAUAUGGGAUUAUCCAAAGUUUAAACAUUAAUAUGAGCUCAAAGGAAAGUUGUUGAAUCAUAUGUUCUAAUUUAGUAAUGAAAUCUUACAUCCCUAUGCAGAGCUUCCUAAAUUUUAUACCAUAAAAAUCAUAAUUUUUCUUAAUCUAGGCCCCCAAUCAGUAAUGAACUCUAAAAUUAUAUAGUAGGAUUGAUAUAUGUAAUAUUUUAACAUGAAAUUUGGAUAUCCUGAAAAGUUAGAGAUGUGUGUUGUUGAUUGGUGGGCCUGCUGCUGCUGCUGGUAUUUUAGGUUAUCUGAAUAAUGCAGAAGCCACAGCCGCUACUCUCGAUUCACAAGGAUGGUUAAAAACCGGUGAUCUUUGCUACAUCGAUGAUGAUGGCUACGUCUAUGUUGUUGAUAGGUUGAAGGAGCUGAUCAAAUACAAGGGAUAUCAGGUCACCGCAUAGUUCACAAUUUGCUUCAUAUAUUCUAUACAAAAUCACAGGUUAACCAUUUACAGGCUUUGUUUAUAUUUGUUUUAGGUUCCUCCUGCUGAAUUGGAGGCAUUGCUACUUUCUCACCCACAGAUUUCUGGUGCUGCUGUCAUACCGUAAGUUUAUAUAGAGCUGCUUCCACUUGAAACACCCUUUGUUGCUCAAGAUUCAGAGAUAUUAUGUGAUUUGCGAUUAGGUUUCCGGAUGAAGAGGUUGGGCAGUAUCCCAUGGCGUAUGUGGUUAGAAACAGUGGAAGCAAUAUAUCAGACACUGCACUCAUGGAUUUUGUAGCAAAACAAGUAAGCAAUUACAUACAUACAUACAUACAUACAUACAUACAUAGUGUUUUAAAGCCUAGAUUGCGAAUGGGUAUGAUCAUUUAGCUUAAGCUAUGAAAUGAACAAAACAGGUUGCACCAUACAAGAGAAUUCGGAAAGUGGCAUUUGUAACUUCAAUACCCAAGAAUCCAUCUGGGAAGAUUCUAAGAAGGGAGCUCAUCAAGCUUGCAAUUUCCAAAAUUUGAGGGCAUCUCGUUUGCAGCUCUAUAAUAAUAAUAAUAAUAAUAAUAGGAUGAAUGCAUUUCCAAAGUAAAGUUUCACUUCUUUGCUUGUUUCGGAGAUGGGAGUUUUUCAUUUCUCUGGUUCAUCAAUGUACUUCUAAAUAAUUUCAUCUUUUAAAAUUUGAAUUUAUAUUCUCCUAAUAAAAAGUACAACAUACUGUAUGAAUGCACUUAAUAUUUGUUGGUUGUCUGGAAUAAAUUUUAAGUGGGACAAUGAUUGAUCUGAUAAAUUGUUUAGCGUUAUCAUUGCUAUUCCCUUCUGUCCAUGGCAUUCAUUCGGCUUUAUGCUUUUUGUUUAAUCUGAUAAAGUGUUUAUACAUUAAUGUUUUAUUCUAUGUAAUUUUAAUUGAUAUAAUAAUAGCUCUCAAAGUUUAGAUAUUCUGUUAAUGUAGUUUCGAUUUAACAGAUUUAACUUCGACAUUUAAUAUAUAUUAAUAGUUAAAUUUGUUGAAUUUUUUAAAAUUAAAGCUAUAUUGACAAAACAUGUAAAUAUUAAAGGCUAAAUUUGUUUAUAUACUAAUCAAAAUUGUGUACAAUUUGACUAAAGAUAUUUACACCAUAAUUAAUUGUCCUUAGUUGCUCACUUUCAAAAUUGAUAAAGAUUAAAAUACUCCAAUCUUUUUGAAAAUAACUAAUUUACUUAAUUUCAAAAUAAGAGGGUUUGGAAAGUUAUUUUUACCAAGAAAUUAUAGAGAUGUUGUUUAAAAUUCUUUAUGUUAUAGACCAUUCAAAUUUGCUCAAUUUCUAAGCCUCCUCUGUUUGUAUCCCUUAUUAUCAGAAAACAAAAUCCUUGCAUUAUAAUAAUGGCAUGAUUGGUACUCGGCCAUUUCGAAUUAUUUAGUUUCUCUAUCACGACAUUGUGUUUGUUUUUUAAAUUUAUUAUUUUUAUAAUUUUAAAAUAUAUAUUUAUUAAUUAAUGAAAAGUGAACUAAUUUAUAACGUUAAAAAGUUCAUUAAUUUUUUAAAAAAUAAUGGAAAGAAUAAAAUAAUAUUAAUAUACUGUUGAGAAUUAAUUCAAAGUAGUGGGUUGUUUAGUUGACCAAAUAUCUUGGUAGAAUCUUUGUUAGUUCCAGAUUUUUCAAUUUAAUUGAAUAAAUUGUUAGCUAUUUUUGUGUUUAAGGUAGUUUCUUUGUAAGCCUAUAAAUAUAGACAUUUAUGCUUUGUUUUAUCAAUUCGGUGUUCAUCAAUAAUAGAAUAACUUUGAUGCAUAUUGUAAUUGUCUCUUUCACGUUUCCUUCUUCAACAAAUUUGGCAUUGAAGCAAGGUUCGAUCUUUUAGGCAAUUGAGUGAAAGUUUGGUUUGGGUCCACUGGGUAUUAGAGAGAAACACCUUUUUGAGUCUUUGGGAAACACGAGAGAAUAAAGUGGGUGUCCUUGGAAUGGCAUCAGUUGAUUUUUGUUCCUCUCAACCACUCAUACCCAUUUUCAACAAUGAGAAAUAUGAGUGGUGGAGCAUCAAGGUGAAGACAUUGCUCAGAUCACAAGAGCUAUGGGACUUGGUCGAGUACGUCUUAACUGACAUACUUGAACCGGAUGAAGAAGAAGAAAAGAGAUUGAAAGAAACCAAGAAAAACGAUGCUAAGGCAUUGCUCAUUAUCCAGCAAGCGGUUAAUGACUCUAUUUUCUCACGAAUUACUGUAGCAACCACGUAGAAUGAAGCAUGGUCAAUUUUACAAAAAGAGUAUUAAGGCGAUUCAAAGGUUAUAGUGGUGAAAUUGCAAUCACUACGACGUGAUUUUGAAACUUUGAUGAUGAAGAAUGGUGAAUCAAUUACUGAUUUUUUGUCACGAACAAGAACAAUAGUUGGCCAAUUGCACUCUUACGACGAACAAAUUUCAGAUGAGAUAAUUGUAGUGAAAGUUGGCCAAGCUUGACGACAAAAUUUGAUCAUGUUGUGACUGCUAUAGAAGAAUUCAAAGAUCUGUCAAUUCUCUCCGUUGAUGAAUUGAUGGGGUCUCUUCAAUCUCAUUAGGCGAGAAUCAACAGAUCAGCAGAAAAGAGUGAAGAGCAGGCAUUUCAAGUGAAUGAGAUAUUCACAAAUCAAGGCGACAAUGACUGUUCAACAAACAAUGAUCGAAGAAGAGGAGGAUUUCGUGGUGGUCGUGGCCGUGGUUAUGGUAAAGGUAGAGGUAAAGGAAGGAAUGAUGGACAGAGGCAAUACAAUGAGCAAGGUAACAUAAAAUAUGGUAUACAAUGUUAUCAUUGCAAUAGAUAUGGGCAUAUAAAAGUUGAUUUCUAGUAUAAGGAUAAAAAAAAUUAACUUUGCAGCAGAAAGUGAUGAGGAAAACAAGCUUUUUAUAACUUGUAUUGAUGCUAACCAUAAGCCAAGUGAUUUAUGGUUUGUGGACAGCAACUAUACGAAUCAUAUGACAGGCACCAAAUCCUUGUUCAAGGUGCUUGAUGAGUCACAAAAGACAAAUUUGCAUCUUAGGAACAAAAGGGAGAUACAAGUUGAAGGAAAAUACACGGUGAAAUUUUUUACUAGUCAUGGAAAAGGAAAAAUUUUGGACAAUGUUCAAUUUGUUCCUGAUUUAGGAUAUAAUUUAUUGAGUGUUGGACAACUAAUGGCUGAUGGAUAUUCUGUCAUAUUUGAUGAUGAUGCAUGUAUCAUCAAAAAUAAAAAGUCAGGCAAACAAGCCUAUGUCCACAUAACUCUAAACAAGAUGUUUGGUGAACUUUGUUCUUGCUGCAAGUGCAAAGGAUGACUCCAAGCUAUGACAUUUGAGGUAUGGACAUCUCAAUAUUAAAGGGAAAUUACUAAGUGAGAAAUGUAUGGUUCUUGGACUACCAAAAAUUGGCUCUCUUGAUUUAUGUGAGGGGUGCAUUUAUGGAAAGCAAACUAAGAAGUCAUUUCCUGUUGGAAAAGCAUGGAGAGCUAUUGAAUGUUUAGAAUUAAUUCAUGUUGAUUUAUGUGGUCCUAUGCAAACCAAGUCAUUGGGUGGGAGCUGUUACUUCUUGUUGUUCACUGAUGAUUAUAGCAGCAUAAUUUGGGUGUAUUUUUCUAGAAAACGAGUUAGAAACUUAUGAAAAGUUCCAGAAAUUCAAGGCUAUGGUGGAGAACCAAAGCGGCUGCCAUAUCAAAGUUCUUCGCAUGGAUCGAGGAGGAGAGUUUGUGUCCAAAGAGUUCAAUCUAUUUUGUGAAGAUAAUGACAUCCGUAAGGAGUUAACAAUUCCUAACACUCUAGAGCAGAACGGUGUUAUUGAGCGAAAGAACCGAACUAUUGUAGAGAUGGCGAGAAGCAUGUUACAAGCAAGAGGACUUUCAAAUCAAUUUUGGGCAGAAGUUGUGGCAACAUCAGUCUAUCUACUGAAUCUCUCGCCAACAAGGGCUAUCAUGAACAAAACUCCAUAUGAAGCUUGGUGUGGUAGGAAACCUAAUGUAAGUCAUUUAAUAAUUUUUGGGUGUGUUGCUUAUGCUUUGGUAAAUUCUCACGCUCAUAAAAAACUUGAUGAAAAUCCAAAAAAUGUAUUUUUAUUGGUUAUUGUACUCAAUCCAAAGCAUAUAGAUUGUAUAACCCUUAUAGUGGAAAAUUUUCAAGUAGAAGGAAUGUAGUGUUUGAUGAAAAUGUAAACUGGGAUAUGACUGUAGAGCAGGUACAACAGGAGAUUUAUUUUCCCAUUGAAGAUUCUCUAGAUGAAAAACAAGAGUCGGCAACAGCAACAUCUACAAAACUUGAAGAGUCUUCUGAAGAACCAAUUCAACUAAGGAGAUCAACAAGGAAGAAUGACAAAAGGCGAUGAUGAAGGAGAUGAAAUCCAUCGAAAAGAAUAGAACUUGGGAGAUGGUUGACUUGCUGGAAGACAAAAAUGCAAUUGGUUUGAAGUGGAUGUUCAAGACAAAAUUUGGUACAGAUGGAAGAAUCCAAAAGCACAAAGCUCGUCUUGUGGUGAAAGGUUAUGCACAGCAAUAUAGUGUUGAUUUCGAGGAAACUUUCAUUUCGGUAGCAUGGUUCGAAAUGGUAAGGCUUAUUCUAGCAUUGGCUGCACAAUUGCAAUUGCCUAUUUAUCAAUUUGAUGUCAAAUCAGCAUUCCUCAAUGGAGAUCUACAAGGGGAGGUUUAUGUAGCACAACCAGAAGGUUUCAUAGAGAAGGGCAACGAAACAAAGGUGUACAAGUUGAAAAAGGCGUUGUACUGAUUGAAGCAAUCCCCUCAAGCAUUGUAAUACCCCCUACCCGUAUUCGUCGCCGAAGUAGGGUAUAGGGCAUUACCAGAUUUUACCGAAUAAAUUUUUUUAUUACGAGUUAAAUACUAUUCAUUUAUCGAAACAUGUCAUGACAUCCCUUGGAUGGGCAUCCGAAGCCCAAAACAUACAUCAGGACCAAACCAGGAUUAAAUUGAAACCGUAAGAAAUUUUUCGCAAAAUCUCGAAGUUUUUUUUAUGAACUCAAUAUAACCCCUUUAUAAAUAUCUAAUCUUCCCUGCAAUUUUAAACCGAGAGCAAUCCAACACAACCAAUCCAUUUCAAUAUAUUUUCAAGAAAGAUUUAACAUAUUCAUAAGAUAACCUCAUCACAUACCAAAACCAAAAUUUGUUAGCCAUACCAAUGACUAACCAUACAUUCAUUUCACAUUAAAAUUUACUUUACUAGCUUAUACAUGCCAUUGAUUUCCAAAAUAAAGUUUCUUUAUAUACCAAGAUCUUGAGGUUGAAAGUGUGAUGCGUCUCUAACCAAAUCCAACCUCCGAGCUCUUAAUACUACAACAUAGGGGAAAAGGAAACAGGGUAAGCACUUUGUGCUUAGUAAGCUUAUGUAACAAGAAUUAUACUUACCUAAAAUUUUCAAUACAAUGUAAUAAACAUUCAUACAUCCAUUCAAUGCAUUAUUCCCUUAACAUGCACAAACUCAACACUAAAGUUAGUUCAAUAAUUUCUAUAUAUCAAUAAUAUAUAUACCGUGAUUGAUGAAAUCAUCAAUUCCAUGAUUUCCAUUCCCUUGUUAUUUUUCCAUAUUUAUCCCGUUGAACUACUUAGAAUUUCGAUGGAUUUUCAGGGGUACACCUAAGUGUACAAAUUCGGGUCCGUCAAUUCAUAUUCAUGUGCGCACAUUUUCAUUUCAAAGAGCACACUCUUGCGAACCUCAUCCUUAUAGCGGGAUUACCAGUCCAGGCUAAAUCCCCUGUAAUAUAAACUCAUAGAGUAUUGUCGGGAUUACCAGUCCAGGCUAAAUCCCCUACAAUGAAAAUUAAUCUAAUGAGCUUGGAUCUGAAUUACCAGUCCAGGCUAAAUUCAGACCCUAAUUUGGAUCACCCGUCCAGGCUAAAUCCAUUUUUCACAUAUUCUUCAGGAGGGCUAUAUCAGGAUAGCAUCACCCGUCUGGGCUAGAUCCUUUUUACAGUCAAGUUCUUUUCAGAGAUCCAUCGAAUUUUCCUUCCAUUCAACCGGGAUUUCUUCCCCUUUUUAUCAAAUAUAUCAAUGUUUCAUCAAUUUUCAUACAAUGAGCAUUCAAAUCAUAUUCACAUCAAUAACAAACAUUUCAAGCAUUUAAGAAUAUAAUUCAAGUUACACAAACUUACCUCGAUACUUGUUCAUAUGCAAAAAUCUACUAAUCCCGAACUUUUUCUUUUACUCAAUCUAGCUUCGUAUUUGAAUUUUUUGGAUUUAAAUAAAUAAAGUUAAUCAUUAAUUUAAUACAUUUCAUGUUCAUAUGUAACAUUCUCUCUAAUCCCAUUAUUAUUUAUCGUUUAUUCAGAGCUGUCUACUUGAGUCAUAGUCACUAAAUUAUUUAUAUCUUCAGCUACGAAACUCAAAAUUAAGAUCCACUAAUUUUCCCCAAAACUAGACUCACAUAUCUUCUUACUUUAAAAUUUUCAAAAUUUUUUAUUGAGCCAAUAAGUACAGCUUAUUCUUUAAAGUCAUCCCUAUUUUGUUGUCUGACAGUUUUGUCCCUUCUUCACUAAAAAUUAAUUAUAUCCUCGUACAGGAUUCAGAUGAUGUUUUCAUUUAUUUAUUUUAAAAAUAGACCCAUUAAAGAUUUUAAAAAUAUAAAUUUAAUCCCGUAAUUAUUUUUCUCCAUUUUUUUAUGAUUUUUCAAAUUCAGAACAGAGGAACCCGAAAUCAUUCUGACCUUGUCUCAUAAAACCUAUUAUAUCUUAUUAUUUACAAUUUCAUUGCCUAUACCGUUUCUUCUAUAAGAAACUAGACUCAAUAAGAUUUAAUUUUAUAUUUUAUUCAUCCUCUAAUUCAAUUUCUACAAUUUUUUGUGAUUUUUCAAAGUUAGACUACUGCUGCUGUUCAAAAUUGUUUUAGUGCCAAGUGUUGAUUUCCAUUUUACCCCAAAUUUCACAGUUCAUACAAUUCCGUCCUUGCUCAAUUAACCCCUCAAUUAAACUAAUUUUUCUCAAUUAAUACUUUACCUAUACAUUAUAAGUUAUUUCAUAAUGAUUGAAAUUCAUAAUUUCCACAUAAAACCCUAACUUCAAACUCUUUUACAAUUAGGUCUCAAACAUUCACUUUCUAUUCAAUUCUUUCAAUAAAAUCAGCAUAUAAACAAUUUAAAGCUCUCAUUCCAUGCUAAUCAUCAUAUACUUCCAGCAUAUAUUCAUAGAAACUUUCAAUUUCAUUCAUAAAAUCAAAAACUAAUGAAUUUAGUAAUAGGACCUAGUUGUAAAAGUCUUAGAAACUCAAAAAUUACAAGAAAAAGGCAAGGAUUAACUCAUUUGGUGCAAAAAUUAUGAAAUAACAGUUUGAAUAAACCCUUAGGACAUUUUCAGCUGAUGAUAAUGAAGAAAAUAUGAAGAGAAUUCUAGAUAUUACAAGUUGGUCCCAUUUUUAUUUUAGUACAUUUUGGUAUUUUUCCAUUUUGCCCUUAUUUCACCAAUUCUCCUGAUUUUUCUCAGCUUAUGCAACUCAUAUUUGCAAUUUAUGUCCCUCCUCAUUUAACAAUUGAGCUAUUUAAUCCUUAUAGUAACUUUUACACCCUUUUCAAUUUAGUCUUUUUCACUUAAUUAGCUACCCAAAUGUAGAAAUUUUCUAACGAAAUUUUAAUACCAUAUUAGUGAUACUUCAUAAAUGUUUAUAAAAGUAUUUCCGACUUGGUUUUUAUGAGAUCGAGGUCUCGAUACCUUUUUUACCCAAUUUCUUCAAUAAUUUCUUUUUCUAACUAACCACUAAAUCGGUAAAAUUUUUCUAUCGAUGUUUUCAUACGAUUUUUCUAUCAUAUCAAUAUUCAUGUAAAAAUAUUAAAAUAAAUUUCUCUUUAAAUUAAAUUUGUGGUUUCGAAACCACUGUUCUGAUAACCUUGAAUUUAGGCCAUUACAACUUUCCCCCUUAAAGAUUUUCAUCCUCGAAAAUCUUACUAGUAAAGAGGUUCGAGUAUUGUUUCCUCAUUGCCUUCUCCGAUUCCCAUGUCGCUUCCUUUAUCCCGUGCUGUUGCCAUAAUACUUUCACCAAAUUUAUCUUUUUAUUUCUUAGCUCCUUUUGUUUCCCGUGCCAAUAUCUUGACCGGUUCUUCAUUGUAAGUCAUAUCCGGUUGAAUCUCAACUUCUGUCGGAGAAAUAACAUGUGAAGGAUCUGAUCGAUACCGUCGUAGCAUAGACACAUGAAAAAAAUUAUGAAUUCUAUCGAGUUCCGGUAGUAAUGCCAAUAGAUAAUCGAUCAGUCACAUUCUUUCUAUGAUUUCAUAUGGCCCGAUAAAUCUUGGACUCAAUUUACCCUUUCAAUCGAACCGGAGAACUUUCUUCCAAGGAGACACUUUUAGGAAUACCUUAUCACCCACCUGAAAUUCAAUCUCUUUUCGUUUAAGAUCUGCAUAAGAUUUCUAAUGAUCGGAAGCUACUUUUAGACUAUCCCGAAUCACUUUUACUUUUUCUUUUGUUUCUCGGAUCAAAUCAACCCCAUGUAUCUUCUCUUCACUGAGCUCUGUCCAAUAUAACUGUGUUUUACAUUUUCUACCAUACAAAGCUUCAUAUGGUAGAUACCUCUCCUAAUUACCUUCAAACUCUAAUAUACAACAUCGGAGCAUAUCUUCCAAUACCUGAAUUACAUCCUCAAAUUGGCCAUCUUCCAAUAUCUUCCAAAGCUUCUUGCAAUUUGUCCCAGAAACGAGACGUAAAUCUGGGAUUUCUAUCAGAGAUAAUGGAGAUUGGCACUCCAUGUAGCCUGACAAUCUCAGAUAUAUACAGUUCAACCAAUUUAUCUAGAGAAUAAUCCAUACGUACCGGGAUAAAAUGUACUGAUUUUGUUAAUCGAUCAAUGAUCACCCAAAUGGCAUCUUUCUUCUUCGGUGACAAUGGUAAUCCCGACACAAAAUCCAUAGUAAUUCUUUCCCAUUUCCAUUUCGGUAUAGUAAUUGGCUGGACCAGUCCCAAAGGUACCUGAUGUUCUGCUUUGACCUGUUGACAUAUCAGACAUCUUGAUACAAACUCAGAAAUAUCACGUUUCAUACCUGACCGCCAGUACAUCUUCUUCAAAUCAUUAUACAUUUUAUUACCUCCCGGAUGUACGGACAUAAUACCACUGUGUGCCUCGUGUAAAAUCUUCUGUACAAGCUCUGAAUUCUUCGGUACACAUACUCUGCCUUUGAAUAAUAAACAAUCAUCAGUCCCAAUCUAAAAUUCUGAAUCAUUACCUGACUCACAUUGUACCCGUUUAGCCUGUAGCUUCUCAUCAUUUUUCUGAGCUUAAUAUAUUUGUUGUAGAAAUGUCGGUUUAACUCUCAACUCAGCUACGGCUGACCCAUCAUCAACCAAAGACAAUCGGGCAUUCAUAGCUCGCAAAGCAAAUAGAUAUUUUCGACUUAAAUCAUCAGCAACAACAGUAGCCUUACUCGGAUGGUAAUCAAUAAUCAAAUCAUAGUCCUUUAUCAAUUCAAGCCACCUACGCUGUCUCAAAUUCAGAUCUUUCUGUAUCAUCAGAUAUUUUAGAGUUUUAUGAUCAGUAUAAAUAUGACAUUUCUCACCAUACAAAUAAUGUCGCUAUAUUUUUAAUGCAAAUACAAUAGCAGCUAAUUCAAGAUCAUGCACCGGGUAAUUUCUUUCAUGUGGCUUAAGUUGUCUUGAAGCAUAGGCUAUAACUUUACCUUCUUGCAUCAAGACACAACCUAAACCAUUUAAUGAUGCAUCACUAUAAAUAAUAAAUUCUUUACUCGGUUCAGGUUGUACCAACACAGGUACUUUCGUCAACAAAUCUUUCAAUCAGUUGAAACUCUACUGGCAUUCAACAGUCCACUCAAAUUUAACAUCUCUCUGUAAUAAACGGGUCAUCGGAGAAGAUACCAUAGAGAACCUCUGUACAAAUAUUCGAUAAUAACUAGCUAAACCUAAGAAACUUCUAACUUCAAAUACAUUUUUCGGUGGACUCCAAUUGACAAUAGUUGAGAUUUUACUCGGAUCUACCCUGAUGGUUUCUGCGGAUACAAUAUGUCCGAGAAAACCCACUUCUCAAAGCCAAACUUCACAUUUACUGAAUUUAGCAUAUAGCUGCUUCUCUCGUAGAAUUUGCAACACAAUUCUCAAAUGUUCUGCAUGCUCAUUUUCAUCUCGGGAAUAGACUAAUAUAUCAUUAAUAAAAACUACCACGAACCUGUCUGAGUACGGUCUAAAUAUCUGAUUCAUCAGGUCCAUAAAUAUUACAGGUGCAUUAGUCAUCCCAAACGGCAUAAUAAGAAACUCAUAAUGCUCAUACCUGGUUCUGAAAGCUGUUUUCGGUGCAUCUGACUCCUUUACCCGUAACUGAUAGUAUCCCGAUCGGAGAUCAAUCUUUGAAAAUACAGUGGCAUCCUUCAACUGGUCAAACAGAUCAUCGAUUCGAGGCAAUGUGUACUUAUUCUUUAUAGUGACUUUGUUGAGCCGUCGGUAAUCAAUACAUAAUCUUAAGGACCCGUCUUUCUUUUUCACAAAUAGAAUCGGAGCACCCCAAGGUGAAUGACUUGGUCGGACAAAACCCCUGUCAACAAGUUCUUGCAACUGUGUCUUUAACUCCUUUAAUUUCGUAGGAGCCAUACGAUAUGGAGCUAUGGAGAUUGGAGUAGUUCCCAGAAUCAGAUCUAUAGAAAAUUCCACUUUCUUCUGAAAACACAUCGAAAAAUUCACAUACAACUGGCACUGCCUGUAUCUUUGACUCAGAUACCUUAGUGCCUAACACAUAUGCCAAAUAAACAUCAUACCCUUUUUUGACACACCUCUGAGCUAUCAUAACCGAAACCACAUUAGAUAAUUCCUCUAUCUGAUCAGAUUUAACCCGAAGUAAUUCUCCAUUCUAACACUUCAGCACAAUAUAUUUCUGUCUAAAGUUUACUACUGCAUCAUGCUGAGUUAGCCAAUCCAUACCCAAUAUCACAUCGAACUCAUCAAAAGGCAAUAACAUUAAGUCAACCGGAAAAUAAAUACCUUUUACCAUCAGUGGAAAAUUUUUACAAACUUUAUCCACCAUCACAAACUGGCCCAAGGGGUUCGAGACACUAACCACAAAUUUAGUAGGUUCAACAGAUAAAUUUUUAACAAAUACUAAUUUUGUGCAUAUAUAUAAAUGUGUAGAACCAGGAUCAAUCAAUGCAGUAAUAUUAAUAUCAAGUAAAAAAAUGUACUAGUAAUAACAUCGGGUGCUGAGGUAUCUUCUCUAGCACGGAUGGCAUAUGUCCUAGCAGGUGCUCAUGCCACAGGCCUACCUGCAGUAUCUUUCGUAACUCCUCGGCUACCACUGACAUUACCAUAUGGUCGAGGUGGUCUACCCCUCGAAAUUGGAUUACUCGGCUUUGAUGUCUGUUCAGCUUCUUUUUCACCUCUUUCUGGAUAAUCUCUGAGGAAAUGAUCGAAAGAACCACAUCGGUAACAAGCCCCGCUCUUUAAUCGGCAUUUACAAAAAUGAGUUUUAUUACAGUACUGACAUCUCGGCUUAGGGGUACCAACACUGCCAACACUGGUCACUAAUGGAGUGGAAGGUCUUGGAUUAGUGCGUUGAAAACCUCGCUCUCUACCCGAAUACCCAGUAGCUGAGGUAGAGUGAUCUUGGUAUUUCUUCAAUUUCUUUGAAGCAGAAAAUUGAGAUUUUUCUAUCGAUCUUUUACUAAGAAUUUGAGCUUCCCUCACAGCCAAUUUCUUUUCUUUACUCAGUUCUUUUGCUUUAUAAACUCGCUCUACCAAUAUAGCGCACUAUCGAAUUUUAAGAAUUCUGAUCAGUAGCUUAAUUUCUUCAUUCAACCCUUUUUCGAAUCUUUUACACAUUUUGGCUUCUGAUUGUACCCAUUCCUGAGCAUAUUUACUCAAUCGGACAAAUUCUCUUUCAUACUCAGAUACUGAUCUGUUACCCUAUUUCAGCUCAAGAAAUUCUUUUCUCUUCAGAUCGAGGAACCUCUGAAUGAUAUAUUUCUUUCUGAACUCGGUCUAAAAGAAUUCCCAUGUAAUUUUUUCUUUCAGAACAACUGAACCUUUAGUAUUCCACCAAUGGUAAGCUGUAUCUUUUAGUAAUGAUACUGCACAUUUCAGACACUCUUUUGGUGUGCAAGAUAAUUCCUCCAAAACCCGAGUAGUAUUUUCUAACCAAAACUCAACCCGUUCGGGAUCAUCAUCAACUGCAGCUCUGAAUUCUUCUGCGCCAUAUUUUUUAUUUUAUCAACCGGAGCUUUUUCUUUUCUGAUAGAUUUAGUACCUAUACCCUGUGAAAUCUCUAAAAUCGGUAGAGGAGGACGAGGAGGAGGUUGAGUUUGCUGCACUUCAGGGUUAGUUCUUAUAUACUGAGUAAACCAUUCAUUCAUCAUUUGAUAGAAGGCCAUUUUAGCCUCUUCACUUUGGUCCCUUGUCUCGGACCUUCUACUACUAGUAGCUUCAACUUCUCUUUGUUCUAAACCCGGAGCAUGACUCUAGGCUUCCUCGGGUUGAGCUCCUUCAGCAAGCAUUUACUAUAAGACAACCAAAUUUCAAAUGGUCAGGAGAUACCACACUAUCAAUAAUAAUUUAAAUGGCAUGUAUAGCUAAUACCGUAUUUGCUAUGUCGGCCGGAGAACCGGCUAAAUCGUAGCUCUGAUACAAACAAAUGCAAUACCCUCUACCCGUAUUCGUCGCUGAAAUAGAGUAUGAGGCAUUACCAGAUUUUACCGAAUAAAUUUUUCGUUAUUAUGAGUUAAAUACUAUUUAUUUAUCGAAACAUGUCAUGACGUCCCUUGGAUGGGCCUUCGAAGCCCAAAAAAUACAUCAGGACCAAACCUGGAUUAAAUCGAAACCAUAAGAAAUUUUUCACAAAAUCCCAAAGUUUUUUUUAUGAACUCAAUAUAACCCCUUUAUAAAUAUCUAAUCUUCCCUGCAAUUUUAAACCGAGAGCAAUCCAACACAACCAAUCCAUUUCAACAUAUUUUCAAGAUAGAUUUAACAUAUUCAUAAGAUAACCUCAUCACAUACCAAAACCAAAAUUUGUUAGCCAUACCAAUGGCUAACCAUAUAUUCAUUUCACAUUAACAUUUACUUUACUAGCUUAUACAUGCCAUUGAUUUUCAAAAUAAAGUUUUUUUAUAUACAGAGAUCUUGAGGUUGAUAGUGUGAUGCGUCUCCGACCAAAUCCAACCUCUGACCUCUUAACAUUACAACACAGGGGAAAAGGAAACAGGGUAAGCACUUUGUGCUUAGUAAGCUCAUGUAACAAGAAUUAUACUUACCUAAAAUUUUCAAUACAAUGCAAUAAACAUUCAUACAUCCAUUCAAUGCAUUAUCCCUUUAACAUGCACAAACUCAAUAUUCAAGUUAAUUCAGUAAUUUCUAUAUAUCAAUAAUAUAUAUACCAUGAUUGAUGAGCUCAUCAAUUCCAUGAUUUCCAUUCCCUCGUUAUUUUUCCAUAUUUAUCUCGUUGAACUACUUAGAAUUUCGAUGGAUUUUCAGGCUAAAUCCCCUGCAAUGACAAUUAGUCUAAUGAGCUUAGAUCUGAAUUACCAGUCCAGGCUAAAUUCAGCCCUAAUUUGGAUUACCCGUCCGGGCUAAAUCUAUUUUCCACAUAUUCUUCAGGAGGGCUAUAUCAGGAUAGGAUCACCCGUCCGGGUUAGAUCCUUUUUACCGUCAAUUCCUUUUCAGAGAUCCAUCGAAUUUUCCUUCCAUUCAACUGAGAUUUCUUCCCGUUUUUAUCAAAUAUAUCAAUGUUUCAUCGAUUUUCAUACAAUGAGCAUUCAAAUCAUAUUCAAAUCAAUAAAAAACAUUUCAAGCAUUUAAGAAUAUAAUUAAAGGUACACGAACUUACCUUGAUACUUGUUCGUAUGCAAAAAUCUACUAAUCCUUAACUUUUUCUUUUACUCAAUCUAGCUUCGUAUUUGAAUUUUCUGGAUUUAAAUAAAUAAAUUUAAUCAUUAAUUUAAUAAAUUUCAUGUUCAUAUGUAACAUUCUCUCUAAUCCCAUUAUUAUUUAUCGUUCAUUCAAAGCUGUCUACUUGAGUCAUAGUCACUAAAUUAUUUAUAUCUUGAGCUACGGAACUCCAAAUUAAGAUCCACUAAUUUUUCCCACAACUAGACUCAUAUAUUUUCUUACCUUAAAAUUUUCAAAAUUUUUGAUUGAGCCAAUAAGUACAGCUUAUUCUUUAAAGUCAUCCCUAUUUUGCUGUCUGACAGUUUUGACCCUUCUUCACUAAAAAUUAAUUAUCUCAUCGUACAAGAUGCGGAUGAUGUUCUUGUUUCUUUCUUUUGAAAAUAAAGUCAUUAAAGAUUUUAAAAAUAUAAAUUUAAGCCCCUAAUUAUUUUCCUCCAAUUUUUUUAUGAUUUUCCAAAAUCAGAGCAGAGUAACCCGAAAUCAUUUUGACCUUGUCUCACAAAACCUAUUACAUCUCAUGAUAUACAAUUCCAUUGCUUAUACCGUUUCUUCUAUAAGAAACUAGACUCAAUAAGAUUUAAUUUCAUAUUUUAUUCAUCCUAUAAUUCGAUUUAUAAAAUUUUUGGUGAUUUUUCAAAUUUAGACUAUUGCUGCUGUCCAAAACUGUUUUAGUGCCAAGUGUUGAUUUCCAUUUUACCCCAAAUUUCACAGUUCAUACAAUUCAGUCCUUAAUCAAUUAACCCCUCAAUUAAGCUAAUUUUUCUCAAUUAAUACUUUACCUAGACAUUAUAAGUUAUUUCAUAAUUAUUGAAAUUCAUAAUUUCCACAUAAAACCCUAACUUCAAACUCUUUUACAAUUAGGUCUCAAACAUUCACUUUCUAUUCAAUUCUUUCAAUAAAAUCGGCAUAUAAACAAUUUAAAGCUCUCAUUCCAUGCUAAAUGACCACAUACUUCUAGCACAUAUUCAUAGAAACUUUCAAUUUCAUUCAUAAAAUCAUAAACUAAUGAAUUUAGUAAUAGGACCUAGUUGUAAAAGUCUUAGAAACACAAAAAUUACAAGAAAAAGGCAAGGAUUAACGCACUUGGUGUAAAAAUUAUGAAAUAACAACUUGAAUAAACCCUUAGGACAUUUUUGGCUGAUGAUAAUAAAUAAAAUAUGAAGAGAAUUCUAGAUAUUACAAGUUGGUCCAAUUUUUAUUUUAGUACAUUUUGUUGUUUUCCCAUUUUGCCCUUAUUUCACCAAUUCUCCCAAUUUUUCUCAGCUUAUGCCGCCCAAAAUAUCUCCUUUUGGGCUUAUUUGCAAUUUAUGUCCCUCCUCAUUUAACAAUUGAGCUAUUUAAUCAUUCUAGUAACUUUUACACCAUUUUCAAUUUAGUCUUUUUCACUUAAUUAACUACCCAAACGUAGAAAUUUUUUAACGAAAUUUUAAUACCAUAUUACUAACACUUCAUAAAUGUUUAUAAAAGUAUUUUUUACUCGGUUUUAUGAGAUCGAGGUCUCGAUACCUUGUUUUUAUCCAAUUUCUUCAAUAAUUUCUUUUUCUAACUAACCACUAAAUCCGUAAAAUUUUUCUAUCGAUAUUUUUAUACGAUUUUUCUAUCAUAUCAAUAUUCAUGCAAAAAUAUUAAAAUAAAUUUCUCUUUAAAUUGGGUUUGUGGUUACGAAACCACUGUUCUGAUAACCUUGAAUUUAGGUCAUUACAAGAAUGGUAUAGCAAGAUCGAUGGGUAUCUUUAGAAGAAAAGGUACAUGAGAAGUGAGAAUGAGCCCACCUUGUUUGUGAUAAAGGAAGGUAAAAAUUAUUUCAUCAUUAUGGAGCAGCAAAACGGGUCUUGCGGUACAUUGCUAGAACUUUGGAGUAUGGCAUUUGGUACUAAAAAACUUUAAAUUUCAGAUUGUAUGGGUUCACAGACAGUGAUUGGGCAAGUUCUUUAGAUGAUAGAGAAAGUGUAUCAGGAAAUGUUUUCACUCUAGGUUCAGGGGUGAUCACUUGGAGUUCUAAAAAGCAAGCUACAACAGCAUUGUCAACCUCAGAGGCUGAGUAUGUAGUAGUAACUGCAGCAACUUGUCAAGCUAUUUGGCUAAGGAGAGUGUUAGUCUAUCUUCAACAAGAGCAGAAAUAUGCAACAAAGAUAUUUUGUGACAACAAAUCAACUAUCUCUAUGACAAAGAAUCCAACAUUUCAUAGUAGAACAAAACACAUCGAUAGUCAUUAUCAUUUCAUUCGUGUUUUGGUAGCAAAAGAGGAGAUAUCUUUAGAGUAUUGCAGCACCCAAGAGUAGCUAGCAGAUAUGUUAACAAAGGCUUUAUCAAAUGAGAAGUUCAGCUAUUUUUGAAGUCUACUUAGUUACUGCAACUUUGAAUUAAAGGAGAGUGUUGAGAAUUAAUUCAAAGUAGUGGGUUGUUUAGUUGACCAAGUAUCUCGGUAGAAUCUUUGUUAGUUCCAGAUUUUCAGUUUAAUUGAAUAAGUUGUUAGCUAUUUUUGUGUUAAGGUAGUUUCUUUGUAAGCCUAUAAAUAUAGGCAUUUGUAACAACCCGUUUUCAGUGAAAUUAGAACAGUGGUUUCGGGACCACAAAUUCGAGUCUAGAAGAAAAAUUAUUUUAAAAUUAUUUUAUGGUUUACCGUAUGAUAGGAAUAUUGUAUAAAAAUUUUGUUAAGAAAAUUUUACCGAUUUCAUGUUUAAUUAGAUGGAAAGGACCAAAUUGUAUAAAAUGCAAAAGUUGAGUUCUAGUAGCUACAAGUAUCAAAUAUCUAUGAAAUUCAAAAUUGGAGGUCCUUAUAUGGAAAAUAGACCAUUAAGAGGAGUUAGUAGAUAAGUUUGAUGAUUCAUCCAUGGAAAACUAAAUAAAGAAAAGGAUGAAAUUAGAAAGUAAAAUAAUAAAUGAUGAUAAAUGAUAAAAUAAUAAAAAUGUCAUCAUAUUAUCAUAUUAUCAUCUUUCCCAAAUUAUUUUACAUGGAAACCCUAGCUAAGAGAAAAGAAUUCAAGCAAGCUUACUUGAUUUAAUUGGGUAAGUAAUCUUGUCCCGUUUUUUAGUAAUUUUUAUAUUUCCGAGAUAGUAAUAGCUUAAUCUAACUAUCUCGGGGAUUAAUUUGUAAAGUUAUCAAAGUAUUAAAGUUUUGCCAUGGAUGAAUAUGCAUGAAUUAUGAAAUUUAUGGAAGAAAAUGAAAGGUUGUUGAUAGAUAAACAAUUUUUGUAAAGUGAAUUUUGAUGAAAUGAUUUAGGGACUAAAUUGUAAACAUGUAAAAUUCAUAAAAAAAUUAUAAAUUUUAUGAAAUACAUGGGCUGUUAAUGUUACAUGUAAAAAUCAGUUAGUCUUGAAAUAAGAAUUAAAUUGCAUGAAUUUUAUUUUCCGAGCCUAGGGACGAAAUCAUCAUUAAUUAAAAGUAUAUGGGCAAAAUGGUAAUUUUGUCUAAGAUGUGAAUUGAAUUGAAUUGAAUAUGAAUUGUAUUAAAUUGAGCUAAAUUUACUCGUAUAGAUUUGGAUAGACCAUAUAUAGAGCUAGAUCAAAGUAAAGAAAAAGUAACAGAUUAGUAGCAUACAAGUUCACAAACAUUGUCGAGGUAAGUUUGUGUAACUAAAUUGAGAAUUUAUAUGUGUUAAUUGAAUUGUAUCUAUGUGUUAAUUGAAUUGUAUGUAUGUGUUCGUAUUAUUGUCGUGUAUAUGAAAGUAUUCACAUAUCUGACAAUGAUCAAUAAGUAUAAAGUCUCAUUUGAAUAUAUAAAGUUUGAUGGUUACAGGAUUCUUGAAUUGGUUGUUGUCCUGCAUAUGUUGUGGGCACACCAUAGCUCGAAAGAGCAUCCCAUUAUUAAUCCUCUCGAGCUUCCCAUUAUAUGGUUCUUGCGAGCUUUCCGUUAUUAGCUCUUCAGAGCAUCUCGACUGGUUGUGAUUCUGCAUAUGUUGUAGACACACCAUUGCUCUUAUGAGCGUCCUGUUAUAUGGCUCUUCGUGAGCUUCUCGAUUAAAGGCUCUUUGUGAGCUUCCUAAUUAAUGGCUCUCUAAAGCUUCUCGAUAUGGCUCGCUUGAACUUCUCGAUAUAUGGCUAUCUGAAGCUUCCCGUUAAUGGCUUGUUAGAGCUACUCGUUAUUGGCUCGCAUAAGCUUCCCGUUUAUGGCUCUUAUGAGCUUCCUGUUAUACAGCCCGGAUAAGUUUCCCGUUACAUGGCUCACAUAAUCUUCCCAUUAUUUAGCUUGAGAGGGGGCUUCCCAAUUAUGUACUCUAAUGAGCAUCUCCGAGUAUGAAUUGACAAAUUUCAAAUCCGUACACUUCAUGUUUACUACCCUUGUAUCCAUCGAUAUUUUAAAUGAUUCAACGGGUAAAGUUUCGAUAUGAGAUGAUAUGAAUUCAAGAUGAAUUACUAUGAGAAAUACUUGAAAUACAAAGAUAUGAUAUAUACAUGUUCAUGGAUACUUGAAAUGAUAAAUACAUGUAUGUGGAAAUUGAAUAUUGAUGAGCUUAUACAUGUUUCUUGAUAUUCAUAUGAAUUACAUGACUAACAUGCUUGAUGAAGAUAUGUGUUUAAGCAAUUGGCCAAUUUGUUUUGGAUGUAUUUUAUAUGCUUACCUUAAAUGUAAAUGAAUGGUAAGUUAAUUUACCGUUAUACGAACUUACUAAGCUUUAAAGUUUACUUUGUUUAUUUUCCUUGUUUUAUAAUAUUUGGAAGCUCAUAAAGGUUGGAAGCUGGUCGGAGCUGCACCACACUAUCCUCCAACUCGUUUUGGUAUAAAUAACAAAUUUCUUUUUUGGGUAUAAUGGCAUGUAUAGGCUAAAGUUGAUCAAAUGAUGGCAUGUUUGUGUUUAGUUGUGAAUUGCCAUUGGUAUGGCUUAUGUUUGAUACAUUUUGAUAUAUAUAAGUAUAUGGCCUUAUCAUGGUUGAUGUGUGUUUUGGUAUAAUUGAUUGAUGGUUAACUAAUAGGCAAAUUGUAACAUGGCUUGAGUUGGUACAAAUAUGAAUAUAUAUGUGUAAGUAAUCAAAUUGUUAAGCUUGGAUACUUGAUUAUAUAAGAUGAAAUGUUAUCCAUAAGACUUGGUUUUGGUUUGAUUCAAAUGUUUUAUAUUGGAUUGGGAAUAUGUUUAAGUGUUAAUGUAGGUGGAAGACAUGUUUGGGUGAGAAAUAAGGCUUAGAAAUGGCCUUAUUUUGUCCACACGGGAGUGUGUCUCAGCCGUGCACAUGGGCGUGUGCUCUAGUCGUGUAUCCCUUACAUCUUAAAAAUUUUAAAAUAGAAUGCUCAGAAUUGAUCACACGGCCUGACACACAGGCGUGUGGCUUGGUCGUGUGACCCUUGCACCUACACACGGCCUAGCACACGAGCAUGUGACUUGGCUGUGUGACCCAAGUCAGAGAGUUACACGUGUGUGGAUACGGGCUGGGACACGGCCGUGUGCCCUAUUUCAAAUGCCCACACAGCCUGAGACACAGGCGUGUGUCCCCUGCACUUAGGAAAAAAUUUAAGAUUUUGCGAAAAAUUCUCUGAUUACCCGGUUUAGUCCUAACUUAUUUCUAAUACAGAUUUUGGGUCUCGAGGGCUCAUAAGAGGGACAAUAUGAUUGGUUAUGAAUAGAUUCUGAUAUGAUUGAUAAAUUUUAUGAAAUGUCUGUUAUACGUUCUGUAAAUUUCGAUAAUGCUCCGUAAUUCUGUUCCGGCGACGGAUACGGGUUAGGGGUGUUACAACAUUUAUGCUUUGUUUUACCAAUUUAGUGUUCAUCAAUAAUAGAAUAAUUGAUGCAUAUUGUAAUUGUCUCUUUCACGUUUCCUUCUUCAACAUAUACUAUCAUAUUAAUUAAUAUUAUCACAUAAUAAUACUAAUAAAUUAUUUCUUUUUGGUAAAUAAAGCCUCAAAAUAAUUAUAUUAUUAUUUUAGUAUCAUUAUGCAUAAACAUACUAUCAAAUCCACAAUUCCACGUGCAACGAUCUAGGAGAGAUUUUGUUGGAGAUCCUUUAUGCAUAAGUUGUGGAUAUGUUGAAGAGUGUAUUAUUCAUGCUCUACGAGAUUGUGCCAAUGUAGGAGAAGUCUGGAGGCAGGUAGUCUCUUCGAGGAUUUUAGGGGAUUUUCUUUCUGCUCCACUGCUGGAGUGGAUCUCGUUGAAUUAAAAAAAAUAAAUUAUUAUUUUAAAGUUUGUUUUAUAUAUUAUAGAUUAAUUGAUGCACUAUUUCUCACUUGAAAUAUAAAUUUCUUAUCGAUUGAGUCUUAGCUCGAUUUACAUAAAUAUUGUUAUCAAUAUAGGAGGAUGUGAGUUCGAGUACACUUAUAAAUAGAGGAUGUGAUUGAAGUCGAUGUCGAAACCUCUUUUUUUUUUGAAAAAAUAGGGUCGACUUUUAAAACGAAAAAAUAGAGUCGCCACCGAUCUUUUAUUGAGGUGUGAUCAAAUCACCUUGAAAACGAUUUUACGUCUACGAAUUUUGAGAAAAUAGGUUCGGGAGUCGGUUACACACGAGGAAGGGUUAGCACACUCGUAACGCCCAAAAUUGGUACCUAAUUGAUUAUUAAUGUCAUAUAGUCGAAUGUCGUAAAUUUGAAAAGAUUAAAAACGAUCCCCAUUUAUUAAUAACAUAUCUUAAAAUAGUACUUGGAUAAAUUUAAACGAAUGUAAAAAAGCCUUCUAAUCCCGAGACGACAAAAUAUCGUAUCCCGUAAGUUAGGAUGCAACAUUUGAAUUCCCGAGUGUAAGCUAAAAAAAUCUUUAUUGAAACUUUGUAUAUUUGAAAACUAAGAUAUUUAGCCGUUUUAGUUCGACGAGAAAGAUCAAAACCCCGUAAGUUAGAGCACGAUUUCUCAUCGUUCCAAAGACGACAUAUUGCAAACUUCAUUUUUUUUAUGAAAUUGGAUCGAAGCGAAGGUUUAAUGCAAUAUUAACAAUGAUAUAAAUUUGAUUUAUUUGAAAUGAAAAGAAAUGAAAUAAUCAAAUUAACUAUGAUGUAAUGUUCGAAACUGAAAAGCAAAUAUAUGAACAUGGGAUAAUAUACAUGGGCAGAAUACUAAACAAUAUGUGCGUACAAACCCCAAACACACAUAAUAAUUAUCGAACUUGAAAUAAUAUAUAAAACAAACUUAAUUCCAAAAAAAGGGUACAUAAAUAAAACAACAUGGAGUAAGUAAUAGGCUAAAAAAUUCUUUUAUGCAAAUCAAUUUAAGAUAAAAUGAAUACAUGAAAUGAAUUGAAAUAAAUUAUUUAAUAUAUUGUUUAAAACAACUAAUAAAACACAAUAUACAAAAAUAUUUACGCAAAUGAUGUAACAGCCCGGUCUAAACCCUAGUCGGACAGUGGUUUCGGGACCACAAAUUCGAAUUAGAAAAAUAUUUUAAUAUUAUUUUCUGUGUCUAUUAUGUGUGAAUUUGCUUGCGUGAAAUUUUCGUGUUUUAAUUUUAUCAUUUAAGUGUCCGAUUAAAUGAAAGGAUUUAAUCGCGUAAAAUGAAAAUUUAAGGGUUAAAUUCAAUAGGGCCGAAUAAUAGUUGUUCUUUUAAUUUAAAGGCUUUAUGUGGCAAAUAGACCAUUAUUAAAGCUAGUGGGAGGUAUUUGACAAGAAUGACCUUAGCAUAUAAGUUAGAAAUUAUUAUUAUUAAAGGUUAAUUGGUAAAUGAAUUAUAAUGUAUAUAUUAUAAUAAAACAAAUGAAAAUGUUAGUGGCUUGUUCAUCCACCCAUCACCGAAUGUUGAAAGAAAAAGAAAGAGUUGAAGCUUUGUUAUAUUCGGCCUAGGUUGAGCUUGAUUGAGGUAAAUUUUUUAAUCGGUUUUUGAUAAUUUUUACGUUUUUGAGAUCGUUGCUUCGUGUUCUUCAAAAUUCAUGCUUUAAUUUUUGGAAUUUAUGAUGAUUUUGUGAUGUACCGUUAAUAAUAGUUUGUGAUUUUUGUUGGUUGAUAGUAGAAAAUAAAAUAUAUGUGAUAAAUUAUAAUGUUUGUUUUUGAAUUUUUGAUGAAUUUGAUUAUAUUGAGUUACUGUAAUUAUAGGAUAGUUGAAAUUGGUUAUUUGCAUAAUGAAUAUUGUUUAUGGAAUUGGCCUUAUUAAAUGACCUUUGAUUAAUUGAGGGAAUAAAUAAUACUAAUAUAUAUGUAUAUAUAUAUAGGAUUCGGUGUUGGUAUGUUUGGUAUGAAAAUGUUGAACAUUGUUGAAUUUGACAUUAGUUAAAAAUAAAAUUAUAUUCGGCUAAAGUUUGAAAAAUUGACCAUAUGAAUAGUAACUUUAUUUGUUUGAUGAACAAAUAUUUAUAUACAGUUUGAUUAACAGUUUUGUGUAAUUGAAUAAUAAUAUGCGAAUAUACUAUGAAAUUAUAUAAAUGCUUAUGGAAUGUUCGGCCCAAUGGUUAUAAAUGUUUGUAUUUAUAAGGUUGAUAUAGGUACAUAUAUUAAAAUAAGUAAAUUUUAAAUGUGAGUUUUAUAUACAUAAUUGGUCUUUUUGUUGUUUAUAAUAGAUUUAUUAGUUGAAUAAGUAAAAUGUGAUAUGACCGAUAGUGGUGUUUGAAAUAUCUUGGAUAAACUUUAAUUAUUAAUUAUAUGUUUACAAAUAUGUUCGAUACAUGAUAUGAAAUGACUCGUAAUAAAUUGAUAUUAUAUUUUUGAUUUAAGAUUAGGUUGUUUUAGUAGGUUGAACAUGCAGAUAUCUAUGAUUAUUCAAAAUUAAUUUUUGGUUCGUUAAUACCUCGUAACCCAAAUCCGGCGACGGUUACGGGUUAGGGGUGUUACAUUUGAUUGGUAUCAGAGCUACGGUUUAGUCGAUUCUAGGACUAACGUAGCGCGUGUGAGUCUAGCUAUACAUGCCAUAUUUUAUAUUGAGAUAGUGUGAUGACUUCUGACAUCUACAAAUGUGUUUUCGUAUAGUAAUGGAUCCCGAUCGAACUGUAGCGGAUGAUGUCGAGAGUGUAGCACCUGCUCCUGUGCAAGAGACGGAGCCGGUUGAUUCUCGACCGAAUCUGAGUAACCAUGGUGAUGAGACUAAACAAGCCUUCUAUACUAUGAUGAAUGAAUGGUUUACUCAAUAUAUCCGAACAAAUCCGGCUGUUCAACAACCUCCUACCCCGAUUAACCCACUUCUGAUGCCUGUGGUACCUCCGACUAUCGAUCCUCUGAGAUUGAAUAAACCUCCUGUUGAUAAGAUAAGAAAAUACGGAGCUGAAGAAUUUAGGGCCACAGCUAGUGAUGAUGCGGAACGGGUUGAAUUUUGGCUCGAUAAUACCAUUCGUGUAUUCGAUGAAUUAUCCUGUACACCUGAUGAGUGCCUGAAAUGUGCGAUAUCUUUGUUACGGGAUUCAGCUUACUAUUGGUGGAACACUUUAGUUUCGAUUGUUUCGAAAGAGCGUGUCACUUGGGAUUUCUUUCAGACAGAAUUUCAUAAAAAGUAUAUCAGUCAGCGAUUCAUUGAUCAGAAACGCAAAGAAUUUCUCGAGCUAAAUCAGGGUCGUAUGACCGUAUCUGAUUAUGAGCGUGAGUUUGUGAGACUCAGCCGAUAUGCCCGAGAGUGUGUUGCAACCGAGACUGCUAUGUGUAAAAGAUUCGAGGAAGGGCUGAAUGAAGACAUAAAAUUGCUUGUCGGCAUACUCGAAAUAAAAGAGUUCAUAGUACUCGUUGAGCGAGCUGGCAAGGCUGAAGAACUCAGCAAAGAGAAAAGAAAAGCUGAGUUUGAAGCUAGUGAUUUUCACAAGAGAUCAGCGAGUAAAACUUUUCAGACAGUAACAAAGAAGUUCAGAGAUGUUAGUAGCCGAUCUAAGGCUACUGCCGGGCUUUUUAUACAAGAACGAUCACCAAUGAGCUCAAGAGCCACCUCAGUUGCUAGUGUUGGUAAUACCCGGCUGAAUAAACCUAAGUGUCAGCAGUAUGGUAGGAGACAUGUUUGUGAGUGUUGGGGCAAGUACAACAAUCGAGUUUGCUAUAAAUGUGGAUCGAAAGAUCAUUUUAUUCGGGAGUGCCCAGAGUUUGCGGAUCAAAAUUUGACUCAGAAUACGAGAUCAGACAACACAGCAGCUCGGGGUAGACCACCCAGAAACACGGGUAAUGUGAGUGCCAGUCAGAGAGGUACUAAAGAUACAACUGUUAGAUCUGAGGCUCGCGCACUUGCCAGAGCCUAUGCCAUUCGCGCACGUGAGGAGGCUUCAUCCCCAGACGUUAUUACUGGUACUUUCACUCUCUAUAAUACUAAUGUUAUUGCACUGAUUGAUCCUGGUUCGACUCAUUCAUAUGUGUGUGAAACUUUAGUAUUCAGUAAGACUUUGCCUGUUGAGUCUACUGAAUUUGUGAUUAGAGUAUCAAACCCCCUAGGCCGGUGUGUAUUGGUUGACAAAGUGUGUAAGAAUUAUCCGUUGAUGAUUUGAGAUUUGUGUUUUACGGCUGAUUUGAUGUUGUUGCCAUUGGACGAGUUCGAUAUGAUUUUGGGUAUGGACUGGUUAACUUUACACGAUGCUGUGGUUAACUGCAAAAAGAAGACUAUUGAUUUAAGAUGCCUGAAUGACGAGAUUAUUCGGAUUGAAUCUAAUGAUCUGAAUGGUUUAUCGGCAGUGAUAUCCUCUAUGUUGGCUCAGAAGUAUGUGAGAAAAGGUUGUGAAGCUUAUCUUGCAUAUGUUCUUGAUAGUAAAGUGAUAGAAAAGAAGAUUGAAUCAGUACUUGUUGUAUGUGAGUAUCCAGAUGUGUUCCCUGAAGAAUUAUAGGGUUUACCACCUAUUCGAGAAGUAGAGUUUGGUAUUGAGUUAGUACCGGGGACGACUUCAAUUUCGAUAGCUCCGUACCGUAUGGCACUGACCGAAUUAAAAUAAUUGAAAGCACAAUUGCAAGAGUUUACUGAUAAAGGUUUUGCACGACCGAGUUUCUCUCCUUGGGGUGCACCAGUUCUAUUUGUGAGAAAGAAAGACGAAACUAUGAGAAUGUGCAUUGAUUACCGGCAACUCAAUAAGGUGACAAUAAAGAAUAAGUACCUGUUACCACGGAUUGAUGAUUUAUUCGAUCAGUUGAAAGGGACUACUGUGUUUUCGAAGAUAGAUCUGAGAUCAGGCUACUAUCAGUUGCGGGUUAAAGAUUCUGAUGUGCCAAAGACUGCUUUCCGAACGAGAUACGGACAUUAUGAGUUUUUGGUUAUGCCUUUCGGACUUACUAAUGCACCUGCUGUUUUCAUGGAUUUGAUGAAUCGGAUCUUUAGACAGUAUCUAGAUCAGUUUGUAGUAGUAUUCAUAGAUGAUAUUCUGAUCUACUCCCGUGAUGAGGCAAAGCAUGUUGAACAUUUGAGACUUGUGUUACAGACUUUACGAGAUAAAUAGUUGUAUGCAAAAUUCAGUAAAUGUGAGUUUUGGUCGCGUGAAGUCAGUUUCUUGGGCCAUGUUAUAUCAGCAUCAGGUAUUCGGGUUGAUUCGAGCAAGAUUUCGGCUAUACUUGAUUGGAAACCUCCGAGAAAUGUUUCGGAAGUUCGAAGUUUUCUGGGACUUGCCAGUUAUUAUAGACGGUUCGUAAAAGGAUUCUCUAUGAUUGCGACCCCGAUGACAAAGCUACUACAGAAAGACGUUAAGUUUGAGUGGUCAGAAAAGUGCCAGAAAAGUUUCGAUCAGUUGAAAGCUCUUUUGACCGAAGCUCCAGUAUUAGUCUAGCCAGAAUCGGGUAAAGAGUUUGUUAUCUAUAGUGAUGCAUCUUUAAAUGGUUUGGGUUGUGUUUUGAUGCAGGAAGGCAAAGUUGUAGCCUAUGCCUCAAGACAGUUAAAGCCGCACGAAAAGAACUAUCCGACGCAUGAUUUGGAAUUGGCUGCUAUUGUAUUUGCGUUGAAAAUAUGGCGCCACUAUCUGUUUGGCGAAAAAUGCCAUGUUUAUUCUGAUCACAAAAGCCUAAAGUAUUUAAUGACUCAGAAAGUUCUGAAUUUGAGACAGCGCCGAUGGUUAGAAUUGCUAAAAGAUUACGAGCUUGUGAUUGACUAUCAUCCGGGAAAGGUUAAUGUUGUUGCUGAUGCCCUAAGUCGAAAAUCAUUGUUUGCUUUGCGUGUAAUGAACGCACAUAUGGCUAUAUCUGAUGAUGGUGCGAUAGUAGCUGAAUUGAAAGCAAAACCGUUACUUGUUCAAUAGAUUUGUGAAGCUCAGAAAGCUGAUGAUGAUUUAAUUGCAAAACGAGCUCAGUGUGACUUAAAUGUUGAUUCAAAGUUUCUAGUUGAUGCUGAGGAUUGUUUGAGAUUCAGAAACCGAUUAUGUGUUUCGAGAAAUUCAAAGUUAAUUCAGGUGAUUUUAAAUAAAGCUCAUAAUAGUCGAUUUUCUGUUCAUCCGGGUAGUACGAAAAUGUAUAACGAUCUGAAACAGCACUAUUGGUGGCAUGGUAUGAAACGAGACAUUUUUGACUUUGUUUUGAAAUGUUUAAUUUGUCAACAAGUUAAAGCCGAGCAUCAGGUACCAUCUGGGUUGCUUCAGCCGAUCAUGAUACCUGAAUGGAAGUGGGAUCGAGUCACGAUGGAUUUUGUAUCCGGUUUACCGUUGACACCGAGCAAGAAGGAUGCAAUUUGGGUUAUUGUUGAUAGGUUGACAAAAUCGACACACUUUAUUCCGAUUCGCACAGAUUUUUCGCUCGAUAAACUUGCGGAAUUGUAUGUUUCACAAAUUGUGAGGUUGCAUGGUGUACCUAUUUCUAUUGUUUCGGACAGAGACCCGAGAUUCACAUCGCGGUUUUGGAAGAAAUUACAAGAUGAUUUAGGUACGAAACUACAUUUUAGUACAGCUUUCCAUCCGUAAACAGAUGGUCAAUCCGAGCGAAUCAUUCAGAUACUUGAGGAUAUGUUGAGAUGUUGCAUUCUUGAGUUUGAAGGUACGUGGGAACGAUACUUACCUUUGAUUGAAUUUGCUUAUAAUAAUAGCUUUCAAUCUAGUAUCUAAAUGGCACCUUACGAGGCUUUGUACGAUCGUAAAUGUCGUACUCCAUUGUAUUGGACCGAGCUCAGUGAAAACAAGAUACAUGGGCUAGAUUUGAUUAAAGAGACUGAACAGAAAAUGAAAGUGAUUCGGGAUAGUCUGAAAACAGCAUCGGAUCGUCAGAAGUCUUAUGCAGACUUGAAAAGAAAGGAUAUAGAAUUUCAGAUUAGGGACAAAGUGCUUUUGAAAGUCUCACCAUGGAAGAAAAUACUCAGAUUUGGUCACAAAGGCAAAUUAAGUCCGAGAUUCAUUGGACCAUAUGAGAUUAUAGAGCGUAUCGGCCUGGUUGCUUAUAGAUUGUUGUUGCCACCUGAGUUAGAAAAGAUUCACAAUGUAUUCCAUGUUUCGAUGCUUCGUAGAUACAGAUCCGAUCCUUCGCAUGUGAUUAGUCCGACUGAGAUUGAAAUUAACUCUGAUAUGUCAUAUGAAGAAGAACCGAUUCGCGUUCUGGCCCGCGAAGUUAAAGAACUGCAAAAUAAGAAAAUUCCAUUAGUGAAAGUGCUGUGGCAUAAACACGGAGUUGAAAAGACAACUUGGGAGCUGGAAGGCGCAAUGAAAGAACGCUAUCCGAACCUAUUCACUGGUAAGAUUUUCGGGGACGAAAAUUUUUAAAGGGGGAGAGUUGUAAUAGCCCGGUCUAAACCCUAGCCGGAGAGAGAUUUCAGGACCACAAAUCUGAAUUAGAAAAAUAUUUUAAUAUUAUUUUCUGUGUCUAUUAUGUGUGAAUUUGCUUGCGUGAAAUUUUCGUGUUUUAAUUUUAUCAUUUAAGUGUCCGAUUAAAUGAAAGGAUUUAAUCGCGUAAAAUGAAAAUUUAAGAGUUAAAUUCAAUAGGGUCGAAUAAUAGUUGUUCUUUUAAUUUAAAGGCUUUAUGUGGCAAAUAGACCAUUAUUAAAGCUAGUGGGAGGUAUUUGACAAGAAUGACCUUUGCAUAUAAGUUAGAAAUUAUUAUUAUUAAAGGUUAAUUGGUAAAUGAAUUAUAAUGUAUAUAUUAUAAUAAAACAAAUGAAAAUGUUAGUGGAUUGUUCAUCCACCCAUCACCGAAUGUUGAAAGAAAAAGAAAGAGUUGAAGCUUUGUUAUAUUCGGCCUAGGUUGAGCUUGAUUGAGGUAAAUUUUUUAAUCGGUUUUUGAUAAUUUUUACGUUUUUGAGAUCGUUGCUUCGUGUUCUUCAAAACCCAUGCUUUAAUUUUUGGAAUUUAUGAUGAUUUUGUGAUGUACCAUUGAUGAUAGUUUGUGAUUUUUGUUGGUUGAUAGUAGAAAAUAAAAUAUAUGUGAUAAAUUAUAAUGUUUGUUUUUGAAUUUUUGAUGAAUUUGAUUAUAUUGAGUUACUGUAAUUAUAGGAUAGUUGAAAUUGGUUAUUUGCAUAAUGAAUAUUGUUUAUGGAAUUGGCCUUAUUAAAUGACCUUUGAUUAAUUGAGGGAAUAAAUAAUACUAAUAUAUAUGUAUAUAUAUAUAGGAUUCGGUGUUGGUAUAUUUGGUAUGAAAAUGUUGAAUAUUGUUGAAUUUGACAUUAGUUAAAAAUAAAAUUAUAUUCGGCUAAAGUUUGAAAAAUUGACUAUAUGAAUAGUAACUUUAUUUGUUUGAUGAUCAAAUAUUUAUAUACAGUUUGAUUAACAGUUUUGUGUAAUUGAAUAAUAAUAUGCGAAUAUACUAUGAAAUUAUAUAAAUGCUUAUGGAAUGUUCGGCCCAAUGGUUAUAAAUGUUUGUAUUUAUAAGGUUGAUAUAGGUACAUAUAUUAAAAUAAGUAAAUUUUAAAUGUGAGUUUUAUAUACAUAAUUGGUCUUUUUGUUGUUUAUAAUAGAUUUAUUAGUUGAAUAAGCAAAUGUGAUAUGACCGAUAGUGGUGUUUGAAAUAUCUUGGAUAAACUUUAAUUAUUAAUUAUAUGUUUACAAAUAUGUUCGAUACAUGAUAUGAAAUGACUCGUAAUAAAUUGAUAUUAUAUUUUUGAUUUAAGAUUAGGUUGUUUUAGUAGGUUGAACAUGCAGAUAUCUAUGAUUAUUCGAAAUUAAUUUUUGGUUCGUUAAUGCCUCGUAACCCAAAUCCGGCGACGGUUACGGGUUAGGGGUGUUACAAAUGAAGUAUGAAGAAAAUUUAGAAUAUACAUUAAGAAAAAUUAGAAUAUACAUUAUAUGGAAAAAUAAUAAAAAUAAUUUAGAAAAUAAGUAAUAUGUAUAAUCCAAAAUAAAUAGUAUGUAUAUGGAUGAAGUUUAAAACAAUACAUGAAUUAAAACAAAUAAUAUAUAUGAAUCCACAAUUUAAUACAAAUAAUAUCUACAAUUUGAAAUGAAUUGGAUAAUUUACAAUAAAUAAUAUAUAAUAAAUUUGAAAUAAUAAUACAUAUAAAAUUUAAAAAUUUUGAUGAUAAUUCUAGAAUAAUCAUACGUGAUAAAUCCAAAAUAAUAAAUUUAAAAAUAUUAAUGAUAAAUUUGAAAUAGAUAUACAUGAUAAAUUUAAAAUAAUGUUAACAAUGAAUUUAAAAUAAUAAUAUUGAGAAAUUAAAAAUAAUAAAACAUGAUAAAUCUAAAAUAAUAAUAUACAAUACACUUAGAUAAUAUUAAUGAUUAAUUUAAUAAUAAGUAUAAACAUUCAAAUAAUAUUAGAUUUAAAAUUAAAAAAAAACAUAAUAAUCAAUACUUAAAUAAAUAAAACACAAGAAAAUUAAAUCAAACUAGUGAGGAUUAAAUUGAAUUUAAAAUAGAAUUAAAAGGAAAAAAUGAGAAUAAAACAAAAUUGAGGGCCAAAAUAUGAAAAAAAAUAGAUAGUAUAAAAAAUAAAUUGCAAUUGAUAAUAUAUGGAAAAAAAAUUUAAAGCAAAUAAUCAAACAAUUUAAAAUAGAUGAUUUAUAACACGAGUUUUUAAAAAAUAAACAUGUGUGACAUAAUAUUAAAAACAAAUAAAGUAUAUAAUUAAUGGGAAAAAAAGAAUGAUAAGAAUGGUUAAAUGAAUGAACAAUAUGUAAAUAAGAAAGUUGAUGGAUAAAUAAACGAAUAAAAGUAAAAGAAUAAUUAAUAAUUAAACAAUUAAAUGGAUAAAUAAAAAAGGUUAAAAAAACGCUUAAGUCAGCCUUACUCCCACAAUAUGAAGAUUCAACUAAAUUCCUCCACCAAAAUCCAAUUCAAAUGAAAGCAACUUAAAAAGAAAUGAAGAUGAACGAAAAACAAAAUAAGAACAAGCCAUAGAAAUAAGAACGCAAGAGAAGGAGAAAUUUGAGUGAAUGCUCUUAAGAAUUAUUAUUGCUCCAAACUCCAGCGUUUUACAAUGAAGGGAGAGGCCUCUAUUUAUAGUUGAGCCUCCCCAAAUCCAACGGUAUAGAUCAAUUACAUCAACGGCUAAGAUUAAAGGGUAUCUACAAAUUAAAUCUCUAAGAUUACAAAAUCUUAUCUUUUAAGAUUGCAUAUCUUAUCUAAGAUUGCAUAUCAUAUCUAAGAUUGCAUAUCCUUGAAGAUUAUGUUUCCAUAUGUGUCAAGCUUUUAGAUGGACCUUCAACCUUUUCAAGUAAUGGGUCAUUCUGAUCGGGCCAAAUGAUAUAAUUUUGGACUGGACUUGGACUUUGUUUUAUUAUUUUGGGUUUAUUAUUUUUUUGUGAGUCCGGGCUAAAUUGGCCUAUUACAGUUGCCCCUCUUUACUCAUUGUCGUGUAAUGAGAAUGAAGCAAAGACUAAAGAAGGCCAAUUUUGCCCGGUCGUAUUGGACUUUGGUACGCUUCUUCUUCAAGUAGCCUCUUCCUGGCCCACUGUAGCUUCGGAGGUAUAGGAAUUGGUGCUUCGAUCCACUCCACUGCAAUGUCGGGGAGAUAUGAUUUGUAACUCAUAACUUUUCAAGAGAACAAGAUUUGCUAUUUUUAGUCUGCUCCACUUCAACUUCAGGGAAAUAAGACUUGAUGCGAUCCGCUCUACUGCAACUUUAGAGAGAUAAGAUCCACUAUCUUUAGUCUGCCCCACUACAACUUCAGGGGAUAAGACUUGCUUUCUUCAAUUUUGACACUAGGGAGAUGAGAUUCGCUGCCCUCAGCCUUAAUUUGCUCCGCUACAACGCCAGGAAAACAAAAUUCGCUACCUUUAGUUUUAAUCUGUUUCACUGUAAUGCCAAAGAGAUAGGAUUUGCUGCUAUCAGCUUUAAUAUACUAUGACGCCAGGGAAAUAAGAUUCGCUGCCCUUAGCUUCAAUUUAUUCCACUGCAACGCCAAGGAAAUGAGAUUCGCUGCCCUCAACUUCAAUCUUUACCACUGCAACGCCAAGGAAACGAGAUUGGUGUCUUCGAUUUGCUUCGCUGGCAAUACAGGAAGGCAAGAUCUGCUAUCUUCAAUCUGCUCCGCUGUUAUCUUUAGUUUUACAAUGAAGGGAGAGACCUCUAUUUAUAGUUGAGCCUCCCCAAAUCCAACGAUAUAGAUCAAUUACAUCAACGGAUAAGAUUAAAGGGUAUCUACAAAUUAAAUCUCAAAGAUUACAAAAUCUUAUCUUCUAAGAUUGCAUAUCAUAUCUAAGAUUGCAUAUCCUUAAAGAUUAUGUUUCCAUAUGUGUCAAGCUUGUAGAUGGACCUUCAACCUUUUCAAGUAAUGGGUCAUUCCGAUCGGACCAAAUGAUAUAAUUUAGGACUGGACUUGGACUUUAUUUUAUUAUUUUAAAUUUAUUAUUUUUUUAUGAGUCCGGGCUAAAUUGGCCUAUUACAGUUGGUGUAGAUAAUUACAAAAGCAUUACAAUUAUGAGCUAAAGACGUGAGCUUUUAAAAGUAUAUCUCAUAUGAGUUGAUAAGACUUAUUCAAAUAUCUAAAUUUGUCGCCUUCUUUCCAUCUCCCUUAUCCAAUUAUAUUUAAUGGUUUUUCCAUUUUUAAUUCCUACCAUAACCUAGAACUAGUAAAUAUAACAUACAAAGUAAGUGGGUAAAAUCAUAAAUCGGCCACUUGUCCGUGGGGCUCCGCUGCAAGUAACGUAUCCCGGGAAAGCGACGAAAAUAAAGUGGAGGAUAAGUUAUACCGAAGCCGAUGCCAUGGGGGCCCUCCACAAUCUCGAACCCUCCUCCUUACUCACGACGUAAUUCGACACCUUUCUCCAACAAUCGUCUCUUUGAAUGGGCCCCAUUACACCGACCAUCGGGUCCCGCUAUCCACGUGUCACCAUUCCAGUGGUACCGUCCUCUCAUGAUAGUGCCACACUGAUUUUUUUAUUUCUUUUUCGCCUUUUGACUCUAUUUCCCACCAAUAAAGCAUAUCUGCACUCGCUUUCUUUAUUUGACACGUACGUCCUAGGGACAGGUGUCGAGUAGAAAAAGCGAGUUAGAUAGAAUCAAUUAGGGGUGCGAGAGUAGUGUUGUUUAGACAUAUUUCUCAAAGUUUAAUGCAGAGGUCGGUUAGAUUUUCCAUCCCAUUUAAAUUGCGUUAAUUUUUUUCUCUCUUUUCCCUAAACUGCGUCAGAUCCGUGUUUGAAACUACUAUAAAAUCCCAGUUCCUCUCGUUUCUUAAAAUCCAUCAAUCUGUGUAGCCAACUUUGUACGUACAAGUGAAGUGAUCCACAAUCUUGAUACAGUAAUACGUUAGGUAGCUUUCAUCAUACUUGUUUGAGUUUAUUGGUAGUAGAUAAAGAAAAAAUGGCUGAGGAGCAUACCAAGGUUGGUGGUGAGGAAGCAGUGGCGAGCAAGGAGCGAGGGAUGUUUGAUUUCUUGGGGAAGAAAGAAGAGGAGAAGCCUCAACCUCAAGAGGAGGUGGUCGCCACCCAGUUUGAGAAAGUCAAGAUAGAAGAGGAACAUAAGGAAGAUGAGAAGAAACACAGUCUCCUGGACAAGCUUCACCGAUCCAAUAGCAGCUCCAGCUCUGUAAUUACUUUUUUUACUUCCUUACUUACUAGUCAUAGUUCAAACAGUCAAAUCUUUUUCAUAUAUAUUAUAACAUGCGUUGUAUGAAUGUUCAGUCUAGUGACGAGGAAGAAGGUGAAGGUGAAGGCGGAGAGAAGAAGAAGAAGAAAAAGGAGAAGAAGGGAAAGAAAGAAGAGGACAGUGCAGUCCCAGUGGAGAAGUGCGAUGAGGCGGCAACAGUUCACCACUCAGAGACGCCGGAAAAGAAGGGUUUCAUGGAGAAGAUCAAAGACAAACUCCCAGGACAGCAUAAGAAAGAUGAAGAGGUCACCACCCCACCACCAGCUGCUGCUGCCCCAACUGAGAACGACCACCAUGAGGGAGAGACAAAAGAGAAGAAGGGAUUUUUGGAGAAAAUCAAGGAGAAAAUUCCUGGUUACCACUCCAAAACAGAGGACGAGAAGGAAAAAGAGACCACUGCUCCCCAUUAAUGAAUCAAUAUAAUGCAUUUCAAGUAAAAGAUGUCUAUGAGAUUGUGUGGUUUAUUAAUUUGUUGGAACUGUUUGUUCUCUGUAUUUCUUUUUGGGGUUGCAUACAUCAUAUAAAUUUCUGCGUCUGUUUUCAUGAUUGUAAGUAAAAAAUAAAAGGGUAUGUAUAUUUAAUGUUUUUAAUGUUAUUAUAAUAAUUAAGAAAUGAUGGUACUAUUUCCUUUUUAUCAAUUAGGUUUGUGCACUGUAAAAGUUAAAUGCAAGUUUUAACAAACAUAAAUUAUUUAAAUAUACAUUUAGUUUUUGGUAGGUGUUUGAAUUAGGUUGUUAUGUUUGAACAAAAUGGCAUGUAUUGAUUGUUUCUUCAAUUCCGUGACAUUGCCAGAGAACUCUAACUAAAGCCAUACUCUUAUUUCUUUACUCUUUAACUUCCCGAGCUAAAAUUUUGAUCGAUUCUUCACUGUACGACAUAUCUGGUUGAAUCUCAACAUCUACAGGUAAAAUUACGUGUGAAGGGUCUGAUCUAUACAGUCGUAACACCAAUACAUAAAACACAUUAUGAAUUUUCUCUAACUUUGAUGGUAAAGCCAACCGAUAAGCCACUGAUCCAAUCCUCUCAAUGAUUUCAUACGGCCCGAUGAAUCGAGGACUAAGCUUCCCUUUUCGGCCAAAAAGGAGAACUUUUCUCUAAGGUGAUACUUUUAGGAAUACUCUGUCUACGACUUUAAAUUCUAUAUCUUUUCUUUUUAAAUUUAUGUAAGAUUUCUGACGAUCAGAAGCAACUUUCAAACUGUCAUGUAUUACUUUGGCCUUUUCUUCGGUUUCUCGAAUCAAAUCAAGACCGAAUAAGUUUUUUUUUUGUUUAGCUUAGUCUAAUAUAACAGAGUUCAACAUUUUUUACCGUAUAAAGCUUCAUACAACGCAAUUUUUAUGCUUGUCUGAUAACUGUUAUUAUACGCAAAUUCUACCAAUGAAAGAAAAUUCUCCCAAUUACCUUCGAACUCUAAAACACAAUAUCAAAGCAUAUCUUCGAGUAUCUGAAUUACUCGCUCAAACUGAACAUUGGUCUGUGGAUGAAACGCUGUAUUGAAAUGUAGUCAUUUACCCAAAGCUUCGUGUAAUUUACUCCAGAACCGAAAAGUAAACCGUAGAUCCCUAUUAGAUAUAAUUGAAACUAGCACACUGUGCAGUCUAAAAAUCUCAGAAACAUACAACCCUGCCAAUUUCUCAAGUGAGUAAUCUAUACGUACUUGAAUGAAAUGCGCAGGUUUAGUCAAUUGAUCCACAAUAACCCACAAAACAUCUUUCUUUCUCAGAGAUAGAGGCAAUCCCGAUACAAAAUCCAUUGUAACCCGUUCCCAUUUUCAUUCUGGAAUCAUCACAGGCUGUAAUAAACCAAAGGGCACCUGAUGUUUGACUUUAACUUGCUUACAGAUCAAACAUUUUGAUACAAAUUCUGAAAUUUCUUGUUUCAUACCUGGCCACCAGUACAUCUAUUUCAAAUCAUUGUACAUUUUAUUGCUGCUAGGAUGUAUCGAUAAGCUACUGCUAUGAGCAUCCUGUAAGACAAACUACUGUCUGAAUUAACAUGAAAGUCUGAACCAAGUGUCGACUCAAUCUAUUCCCAUUUUGCGAUCAAUCCAGCAUCACUUUUCUGAAUCUCAUAAAUUUGUUGCAAAAAUGUCAGUCUAGCUUUUAAUUCAGCUAAUAUAGAACCAUCAUCAAUCAAGGUCAACCAUGUGUUCAAAGCUUGCAAAGUAAACAAAUAUUUUAUACUUAGAGCAUCGGCAAUGACAUUAGCUUUUCUCGGGUGAUGGUCAAUGAUCAAAUCACAAUCUUUCAACAAUUCAAGCCAUCUACAUUGCUUCAAAUUCAGAUCUUUCUAUGACAUCAAAUACUUCAAGCUUUUACGAUCCAUGAAGAUAUGACAUUUUUCUCCGUACAAAUGGUGUCGCCAAAUCUUUAAAGCAAACACAAUAGAUGUAAGCUCUAAAUCAUGAGUCAGGUAAUUGUUCUCGUGUAGUUUCAACUGUCGAGACGCAUAAGCUACCAGUUUGCUUUCUUGCAUCAAAAUACAACCUAAACCAUUCAAUGAAGCAUUCCUAUAAAUCAUGAAUUCCUUAACAGACUCUAGAUGAACCAACACAGGGGCUUUGAUCAACAACGCUUUCAAUUGAUCAAAGCUUUGCGGCCACUUUUCUGACCAUUCAAAUUUGACAUCUUUCUGAAGCAGUUUUGUCAACGGCGUAGCAAUCAUCGAAAAUUCUUUAACAAAUCUCCAAUAAUAUUCGAUUAAACCCAGAAAAAAUCUAACUUCUGAAACAUUUCUUGGAGGUUUCCAGUAAACUAUGGCUGACAUUUUACUCGGGUCGACCUUAAUAACGUAUAUCGAAACAACGUGUCCCAAAAAUCUAACUUCUCGGAGUCAGAACUCACAUUUUAUAAACUUAGUAAAUAACUAUUUUUCAAGAAAAGUCUACAAAACUAUUCUGAAAAGCUGGGCAUACUCUGUUUCAUCUCGUGAAUAGAUUAGAAUGUCAUCAAUAAACACAACAAAAAAUCUGUCUAAAUACGACCUGAAUAUUCUAUUAAUCAAAUCCAUAAACACAACAGGUGCAUUGGUCAAACCAAAUGGCAUAACAAGAAAUUCAUAAUGUCCAUACCUGGUUUUGAAAGUAGUCUUCGAUACAUCCAAGUCUUUAACUCGUAACUGAUAAUAUCCAAAACGGAGAUUGAUCUUUGAAAACAUUGUCGCGCCUUUCAACUGAUCAAAAAAAUAUCAAUACGUGGCAAAGGAUAUUUUUUAUUGAUCGUAACUUUAUUGAGUUAUCGAUAGUCGAUACAUAACUGUAGUGACCCGUCCUUUUUCUUAACAAGAACACCCCAAUGAGAACAACUAGGCCAAACAAAACCCUUAUCUGUCAACUCUUGCAACUGUGUUUUUAACUAUUUCAACUCUGUAGGUGUCAUUCUAUACGGAGAUAUCAAUAUCAAAAAUGUCCCCGGCAUUAACUCAAUAGCAAACUCAACCUCUUUAAUUGACGGUAACAAUGGUAACCCUUCUGGAACACAUUUGUGAAUUCACAAAUAUUCAGAACUGACCCUAAUUUCAAUUUUGAAACCUUGGAAACAAAUAUGUAAGCCAGAUACGCCUCACAGCCCUUUCUAACAUAUUUCUGUGCCAUCAUAGCUGAGAUAACAUUAGAUGCACCAUCCAACCUAUCUAAUUCAACUCAGAUCCUUUCACCGUUCUGACAUUUCAACACAAUAUGCUUUCAUCUAUAGUUCACAAAAGUAUCAUGCAGAGUUAACCAGUCCAUACCCAAAAUCACAUCAAACUCAUCAAAUGGCAACAACAUCAAAUCAGCCGAAAAGUUGCAAUCCCGAAUCAUCAAAUGACAGUUUUUACAGGCUUUAUCAACAAACACAUACUAACCUAAAUGGUUCGUUACUUUAACCACAAAUUCAGUAGACUAAAAAGGUAUUUUCUUAUCUGACACUAAAGUUUUGUAUACAUAUGAGGGCGUUGACCCCGGGUCAAUCAAAUCAUUAACAUUAGUAUCAAAGAUAAAAAAUGUACCAGUGAUCAUAUCAAGUACUGAAGCUUCCUUUCGAGCACGAAUCGCAUAAGCCCUAGCUGGUGCCCGUGCCUCAUAUCUAAUAGUAGAAUCUUUUGUUCCACCUUGACUGUUACCCGCAUUACCACUAUUUUUUGGCAAUCUCCCUUUCACGGCUGUAUUAUUCGAACGAGUGUUCUAAACUUUCUUUUUAUCUGAUCUUUCAAGGCAGUCUCUUAGAAAAUUAUCAUAGGAACCGCAUUUGAAACACGACCCGUCUUUCAAUCUGCACUUCUCAAAAUGUCGCCUAUUGCAUUGUUGACAUUCAGGUUUGUUGUUUCGAACACUACCCACUCACUACAGAUGUAGCCUAAGGUCUUGAACUUGAAUGUUGCUUCGCUUUAUCUCUCCUUGGUAAACCUAUUGAAGUUGAUGAACAGAAGUGAAAUUCCUUUAAUUUCUUCGAUGGAUAUGAUAAUGACUUUUUCAUAAGUCGUUUUCCCAUAUCACGAGCUUCAGAAUAUGUUUUUCUUUUGGCUUUACUAAGUUCUUCGGCCUUAUAUGAUCUAUCAACCAGAAUCAUGAAUUAUUUCAAUUCUAGAAUUCUAACUAACAAUUUGAUGUUUUCAUUUAAAUCGUCUUCAAACCAAGUACAUAUAACAGCCUCUGAUGGUAUACACUCCCGAGUAUAUUUACUAAGUCACAUAGUUCAGUUUGAGUCAGGAACUAUCACACUAUCACAGGUUAUAUAAAAACAUGUAUUUUUAGACUCCAUACAUGCUACGUUCAGUCCAAGAACUGACUAAAUCAUACUCUGAUACCACUAAAUGUAACACUCUUAACCCGUCUUCGUUGCCAGAUUAGAGUUACAGAGCAUUACUGUUCAAUAAGAAAUAUUUAAAAAUCAUAAAAUUUAAUAAUUUAAAUAUAUCCUAAACCAUUCAUUCUCAUACAUUUCGUCCCUAAAUCAAGCCUUCGGGGCCCUAGAAAUAGCUUAGAGGCAAUUUGGGACUAAUUUGAAACAAAACAAAAAGUUAAGGAACAAGUGGCAAAAAUUAGAAACAAGGGUCACAUGGCCGUGUGACAUAGCCUCAGGUCGUGUAACUUUUGAACAAAGGACACACGAUCGUGUCUCAGCCCGUGUCCUUACCCGUGUUACUCAUUGAGUAGGGUCACACGGUUAUUUUACACCCUCGUAUACCAGGUCGUAUAACUCUCGGAGUUGCUCCACACGCCCAAGUACCAGGCCGUGUGCUAGGCCGUGUAACUCACUGACUUGAACACUAAAUAGCUCACAAAUGACACACGACCCUGUCGCCAAGCCGUGUAUCUCACACGACCGUCUGACAGCCCAUGUCUUAGGCUGUGUGGACCCAAACUUUUACCUAAAAAUAAGUCGUUUCUUAACCAAUCCAUGCAUAACUAACAAAUCCAUUUAUGUACACUUUCAAGGGACUAAAGCAUCAUUCAAAUACACAUAAUCAUGCCAAUUCAAACAACCUAAUUCAUCUAACCAAUAUGCCAUUCAAAGGCAUCACAAUUGCAUCCAAACAUCAUUUACAUAAACAUGUCAAUAUAACCUUAUUUCAAGCAUAAAAACCUAGUUUAAACAUCUACCAAAUCAUGUCUCAAUUGACCGCUGUCAAGCCGUUAUAAACAUACCAAAAAAGAGCCUUAUUUACAAGCAUUAGCAAGCGACCAAAAAUAACAAAGUUUCGUAAGCAUUAAAGUGCACCAAUCAAACAUAAUAUUCAAAACAUAAACAUAUCAUAGCACCAUUACACAACAUCCUAUACAUGAUUAACCUUGGCCAAAAUUCUAAAAAACUACCGAAUUGACUACUGGAUAGUGUGAUAGAUCUCUAACAAAGUUCCAAACCGGUCGAGCUUCCGAUAAUCUAUAAAACAAAGGAAAGAAACUACGUAAGCAACAAAUGCUUAGUAAGCUUGUAUAAACCUUAACAUAACUUACCAUUUUUAUAUUACAAUUCAUAGCAUAAGUAUAAACCAAAACUAAUGCCAUAAGCUUAGUAUGAGCUUAUACAACAUCAUCAAACUCACAAGUUAGUAUACUUGUUCAUAAUAUAUAUGAAAUCAACCGUAAGAUAUGAAGUUUACCAUGUAUAAACGUAACAUUUUUACAUCAUCAAUAUUACCAUAAUAUCAUGAUUCAUUUCAUUUACAUACUUAAGAUUUCCUUUUCCUUUUCUUACCCGUUGAACCAUCUAGAAUUACAUUGGAUACUCGAGAAAGCUUACACAUAGUGUACCUUUACAUAUAACCGUAACAUUUUCUUUACAUCAAUGCUCACACGAGUUGUAAAAUGGGUCUGCUCACACGAGUUGUGGUCAUAAUGAACAUUCAAUUUAACUAGCAUAAAAGUGGUUACAGUUCAUACGAACUUACCUAGAUAACUAGAGUAGUAGUGUAAACUAGUCCGAAGCUUUAGCCUUUCCUCGAUCUAAGUCCGAACAUGAUUUAUCUCGACCUAAAUAGAUAAUUUCAAUCAAUUAAGUACUUUUAGAAUUCAAUUUAAUCCAGAGUUCAUAUUAUGCAAAAUUACCAAUAUGCCCCUAAAAUUUUAACUUUUCCUAAUUUAGUCCUUAAGCUUAUAACUUAAAAUCUAACCAUUUUAACCUAAAUCCAUAUUAACCAUAGAUACAAAGGACUUUGAAACAACCCAUAUUUACCAUCGUUUCACAAAAAAAUCCUAGCAUUUAUACCUUUAACAAUUUAAUCCCUGCUUCUAAAAUUCAUCAAAAAUCACUUAUCAAAACUUAUUUAUUUUUCAACAAGGAUUUGUAAUCUAUCAAUUAACAUCAAAACCUAACCAAAAAAAUUCAUGGAAAGUCUCUCAACCUUUAAAAAUUUUGCAAAUUAACUCUCGAGCUAGCUAAAUUAAGCUAAAACAGAUCAAAAACAUAAAAUCAUUAAAAACGGGGAUUGAAUACACUUACAUGCAAGAAAAUAAGCUUGACUGAACUAACUAUCUUCUCUAAUGGUAGAAAUGGCUAGGUCUUGAAUACAAUGAAAAACAUGAUAGUUUUCUCAUCCUUUAGUUAAUUAACAUUUUAACUAAUUUAUAAAAUUACUUAAUUAACCUUUUAAAACCACUUAAAAUUUCAUUAAAAGCUAUCCAUAAACAUAUACUACCAACAUAUAUGGUAUAAUUACCAUUCAAAUCCAUUAACUUCCCUUUCCAAAGCCAUUUAGCCCUUUUAACUAAUAGAACUCAAUUUCUAAACUUUUUACGAUUUAGUCCUUUUCACUUAAUUAACCAUUUAAACAUUAAAAUUUCUUAACAAAAUUUUAAUAACGCUUAACAAAAUUUUAAUACAACCUUAUUAUAAUUUUGUAAAAAUUUAAUAAAUAAUAAAAUAAUAAUUUACACGUCAAAAUUGUGGUCUCGAAACCACUAUUUUUGAUAUCACUAAAAACGGGCUGUUACACUAGCAAUCUGUUUCCCAGGUAAUCACUGCAAAUGCCCUUAUAAAUUUCUCUCAUGAUAUACUCAACUUCUGAGGGAGUAAGACAAUGCAGUAAUAGGUGCGAAAACUCUUUUCUAUAUAACACACCCUCUAUGAGGGUGUAUCUGUCAAAAGGCGAACAAAACAUGUUGUUCCAAUUUAGUAUGUAAUAAGUUCGUAAUGGGCGGAUAUGUAAUUUUCAUGCAAGGAUUUCAACAAGUAUUCAUAAUUCGUAUCGAUGAUGUACCUUGCCACCUUGUAUUGUUAUUUUACGAGCUCUUUUCGAUCUUGGCUUUCCUAUUUACGUUGUAGCGUGUGGAUUAUAGGGGUCAUCCAUGUUUCUUAUUGGGUCAUCAAUAACACUUGGGGGUCACCAUAGCUCAGCACUUCCUUGUGUUUGAGUAGGAUUUUUCCUCUCUGCUCAAUGGUGAUGGAGGAUGCUAACUUUGAAAGAGCAUCUGCACGCACGUUGUCAUUCCUUGGGAGCUACCUAACCUUGGCUUCUUUGAACCCUGCCAGUAAUUGGAUUACCAUCAUGUGAUACCAUUUUAGUGUUGCUUCUUUCACCUCGUACUCACCAUGUAUUUACUUCACCACGAACUGGGAGUCAGUGUGUAUAGUCAAGUUCCUGGCAUCGAACUAGUGCGCUAAUUAUAGUCUAGAUAUCAAUUCUUCGUACUCAGUGUUGUUGUUCAAUGUUUGGAAUCCAAAUGAAAAUCCAUAUUGCCACUCGUUUCCCUCUGGGUUUAUCACGAGUGUGCCUACCCCCGAUUCUAUUUUGGCUGCAGAGCCAUCGACAUAAAGCAUCCAACCCUUCAUUCUAUCUAUUGUGCACAAAUCUCUAGGGGUGUGUUUACUAUUGGGAGUGUCCAACAAUAAAAAGUAACUUUAGUACAAAAUGAAAAGUGAGUAUCUAUUUUCCGUAAAAUAUGAGAAUCAUUAGAGUGGUACUGUUCAUCAUAAAAUAUGUCAUCAUUAAAUUGUUAAAUUUCAUUAAUGUUUGCAUAUUACAUUAUCUCUGCAAGAUAUUUCACUAUUUGAUGCAUCAAAAUAAAAUUUAUGUUACCUGUUAUGUCUUCACUUUUUUCGAAUGAGCAUUCUACUAUGAAAUCUACCAACACCUGCCAUUUUAUUACCAUUCGUGGGAUGAAAUCUAUCUCGAACUCUGUGAGUUCGAUGCUCUAUUUUUUUAUCCUCCCUAGGGUGUCUGCCUUGGCAAGAACCUGUUUCAUUGGCUGGUUGGUGACUACAACAAUUGGGUGGGGCUGGAAGUAUAGUCGUUGCUUGCGAGCUGUAAUGAUUAGGGGAUAGAUACAUUUUUUUUUUAUUUUUGUGUAUCUAAGCUUGUCAUGUUGAAGCACCUUUCUGACAUAACACAUCAAAAAUUGAAGGCUGCCUUUAGACUUGACUGAGACGAUUGUGAUUGUCUUUUCUGAGUCUCCUAAGUACAGGUAGUGUUUCUCCCGUUUGAGGUGACUUUAACAGUGGAGGGAAGUAAGGUAUUGUUUCAGUUGUUUAAAAGCGGUUUGCCAUUCUUUGGUCUACAAAAAGGGUUUCUUAAGAACUUUGAAAAAUGGGAGGCACUUGUUUGGCAUUAUGGAAAUAAACCUGUUAAGCGCCACCACCUUGCCCAUGAGGUGCUAGAUUUCUUUUAUAGUUUACAAGAUGGGGCAUCUCUGUAAUGGCCUAAAUUUUUUUCAAACUCGCCUCUAUUCCUCUUUUUGAGAUUAUGAAACCCAAGAAUUUACCAGCUCGCACAUCGAAGGCACAUUUCUCUGGAUUAAGUGUCAUGUUGUGGGCCUUCAAUGUCGCGUAUGCAUCGGAGAGGCUCCGCACAUAUUUCUAUAUGGAUUCACUUUUUACAAGGAUGUCAUUUACGUACACCUCCAAGUCGUGACCUAUCUGUUCCUUGAAUAUCCUAUUUACCAACAUUCGGUAAGUUGCACCCUUGUUUUUUAGUCUAAAUGGCAUGACCCGAUAAUAGAAGAGACCCUCUUCGGUGAUGAAAUGUGUUUUUUCUUGGUCAUCACGAUCCAGUAAAUUUUGAUUGUAGCCCAAAAAAGUGUCUAUGAAUCUCAUAAAAUUGUGCCUAACAGAUGUGUCAACCAAGCGAUCUAUCGACGGUAGGGGGAAGCGAUCCUUGGGGCAUGCCUUGUUAGGUUACUGAAGUCGAUACAUAUUCUCCACUUUCCUGUUGACAUUUUUACCAUUACUAUAUUCGAGAUCCAGCUCGAAUACUCCACCUCCCUCAUAAAUGCAGCGACCAACAACUUGAAGACCACCUGCCUUACUACCUCUAUUACCUAUGGUAAAAAUUUUCUCUUUUUCUACUUUACGGGAUUUGCUUCUGGGAGCACAUUCAACCUAUGCACUAUUACCUAUGGAUCCACGCUUGGCAUAUUCGUUGCAAACCAUGCGAAGACGUCUGAAUUCCCCUUCAAGCAUUUGAUCAGUAUCAUCUUUUUUUCCUUAUUUAGUGCAAACAAGAUCUUAACUAUUUUUUCUUUAUUAUCGCAGAAUAGUUGCAGGGUCUCAAUGUACUUCGCUGCCUGGGGUGUUUUUAUCCUUAUGUUCUUUUUGGACAUCCAGAUCAUUUAAGAUGAUAGCUUGGCUUGGUGAACUCUGCUUCUCGGUCAAAGGCUGUCUUACCUACCUAAUGGACAUGUGACAUUGUCUCACCAUGCACUGGUCAGAUUGUAAAAAGCCGACGUCAGUACUUGUCGAGAAUUUGAUCUUCAUACAAAAGUUUGUCAUCACCAUUUUUGCCAUUCUCAUGAUUGGUCUUUUAAAAAUGGCAUUAUAUGCCAUCGGGUGGUCGACCACAUAGAAUUAGACGCACUUUGUGAUCAUAUGUUUGCCGUAACCUAAGGUGAACAGCAAUAUGAUAGCGCCUUUUACCUUGACAUGGUGGUUUGUUAAGCCGGAUAGGGGGCUGGCCGCAGACAAUGACUGUUCUUUUAAACCUAUUUUUUUAUAUACUUCCCAAGAUAAGACUUCCACUGCGCUACCACUAUUGACAAGUAUCAUUUUAACUUUAAAGCCUACGAUCAUAGUCGAAACCACCAUUGGGUCGUUUCUUUCCUCGUCACAGAUUAGCUUAUCGUCAUCGCUUCCAAACUCUACAUUCUAUUUUUCCUAAUGUUGGGGCCUCUUCGGGGAACUGAGUGACAUCACACCCCUCAUGUGUGCUCACCAUUUUACGUUUGACUAUAUCCAUUCGUUGUUAGUGCCUACGAUUACAUGAAUAGUGCCUUGCACCGUUUACUUACACGAGAUUUGGCCUUGCCAUGGACCUCUUUAAUUUAUGAACUCAACAAGUUCGUAAUUUCAAACCGCUUCUUCUAUGACGUCCUUUAGCGUGAAAUAAUCUUCGAUUUUAUGCCUUGUGUCAUCAUGCAAGGCACACUGGUCCCUAAAAUUUUUCCUUCUACCAGUACUUUGCAUUGGGGUGGUUUCGAAAGGAUGCCCAGACUCUUUACUUGGUUUCCUUCUACCAGUACUUUGCAUUGGGGUGGUUUCGAAAGGAUGCCCAGACUCUUUACUUGGUUGAAGAUUUAAGCUCACGUAGCAUUCAACAGGGUGUAAGCCUCAAACCUGCCCUGAGGGUAAUGCCUCAUGUGUUCUUGCUGGAGCCUCUGCGAUUUUCUAAGUGUGUCGCCUUGAGCUAAAGUUCUGUGUAGCCUGUCGAUCCUGACCCAUAGGGACUGGUUGAUGGGAGAUUUCCAAGUGUGUUGUCCCUCACUACUUUUGGUUUGUCUGUCCUCCCUUUAGAAAUUGGCCCACGACGCUCUCUUAAUUUCUUCUGCCUUUACGAACUUAUGGCCCGCUCGUACAGGUCAGCUAGGCUCUGUGGUUUUUUGUCUGUGAUCAAGUAUUGUACGAGGUUGUUUUGCAGUCCCAUAAUGAAUGCAUCUAUCGUCCACUGAUCUUUUAAGUUUUUUUGUGUUAAAUGUAGCCAUAUAGAACCUCUUUACGUAGUCUUAAAGGGACUCACCCUCCCGUUGCUUUAUUGGCAUUAUCCUCAUGGGUGUGUUCAUGGUAGCUCGAUGAGCUCUGAACAUUUCCAAGAACAUUUUCCCAAUUGCGAAAAGUUGUAAACUGAGCCUUGUAUGAGGGAAAGAUACCAGUCAUUGGCACUUGCUUUUAGCGUUGUAGAAAAGGUCUUACAUUUAGCUGCAUCUAAUGACCUCAACGUAUUUAUAUAGUCAUUAUACUGCAUCAGAUGGUCUCGUGGGUCCCUUAUUCCUUCAAACAUAUCCUUAAGUACCUUGAAAUCACGGGGCAAUCCCACUACCAUAAUUUCGAAGGCCAGUGUGUUGUUGGAGCAGAAUAAUCAAUCCAUGUCCCGUGGCUCACGGUGUAAGGCUCACACUUCGUGACGAACCUCAUUCAUCUCGUUCAGCCACUCCUUCACGUAGGUACUCGGAGCUUCAUCUUGGGUGUUGGCGUUUCCUUGGGACCCCGAUUUGUCAACAAGUACAUUUCUGCGCAGUUUCUCAUUCUGCCUUAGUAACUCCUACUAGAAGGCUUGCUAUUCCACAAACCAUGUUUCUUAUGCACCCAUCUGAUCUCUCGUGAACUUCAUCUACUCCUAGAGGGCCAGAACUGCGGAGGGGUGGUUCUUGGCCUGAGGAGAGAUUAAGGUUCAAUGAAAGGGAUGGCCCUAAAAAAGCUGCAUUGUCAAGGUUUUCAGGUCUGUCAACGAACCAAGUGGCAAAAAAAUCUACCUCUUCAUGUCGGAGGUUAGAACCUGAUGCUCUUGCUUGAUCGGGGGAGGGAACAAAAGGAAAAGUCUCGUUUGGGUGAGUCAUUUGUUUUUGUUUAGCUGAAGAAAACUGAAUCAAAUUGAAGAAAAUUUACCAGUCAGAAGUAGUCCACGCUCAUCGCACCGAUUGUUAGUGAUAUUUUUCUCGUAUCGUAUUAAAGAAAACGUAAAGGGCAUUUGUACAUGUUCCUACUGCUACUAUUAUAGCUCAAAAUAGGGCCUACUAUUUUGUCUCGGUCUUUGGGCCAAUGGUACGGACAUUCUCUGUCCUUGGUGCUGACAUUCCCUGGGAAUCCCUUGGCUUAUUGGACGCGUGUCUGCGGAGCACGUAGUUUUUUUUAUCCUAGGACUGACUCCUCCAACGAGCCUCGUACCUGCUAGUCACGAACGGGGAUCCUUUGUAGAGUUCAUGAUCCCUUCUACGGACAUAGCUCGCGACCUCAUUCUUACUAGGCUUACGCAAGCUCUCCUCGUAAGCUUCCCGUGCUAGCUAUCUUUGCUAACAUCUAACAUUCCAGCAAGGUCCCAGCGAACUAUGCCAGUACAUGAACAUUCUUCUUCCAAGUCGGGUCUAUUCGGGUUGGAGAUCCGAAUCUUAUUGGGUCAUUUGGGCUAGUGGUUCCCAAAUCCUAACAAAACUAAAUUUUGUUUUUUUUUCACCUUUGUUGAACACUUUCAAUCACAUAAACAAUUAAUGUUGUUUUGCCCAGAAAUUGCUUUUCAAAUUUUAUUUUGAUUCAUAUUUUCUCAAAACCAUAAAAGCUCUAACAAAUACAUCUCAAUGCCAGACUCAAAUUUCACUAUUAGACUUAUUGUUGCUACUCGAGUUUCUAUGAAACAAAAUCUAGGCUUGCACCACAACUUUCAUUCUUGAGAAUCAUAAAAACUUCUACAAUCAAUGGUCUAUCUAUAGAUUUUCCCGAUAAUUAUGAAAAAAAAAGAAGAGGGAAAGAGAGAAAAGCAAAAUGUUUUAUUAUGUUGUCUGGACUUUUGUUAAGUUUUAAUAUUUUGAAAUUUUAAUUUUUUACAAAGUACAGUUUUUCUUUUCUAAACCCAUCAUUUUUUUUGUUAUAACUCUAGUCAGGGCUAGUUCUCCAUUGUUAUUAUAGUUAAAAAGUACUUUUGAAAAGUGUUAUUGAAAAAAAGUACCAUGAAAAAGUGUGACUUAUUAAUUUAAAGUGCUCACCAUUGCUGUCAAAAAGUGCUAUGAAAAUUUAAAAUGUUGAAUUCUUUAUUAAACUGAAAUUUCAUUAUCAAUUUUUGUAACAACUCGUUUUUAGUGGUGUCAGAAACAGUGGUUUCGGGACCACAAUUCAGAUGAGAGAGUUAUUUUUUUAUUUUUUUUAUUGUUUUUGGAUUAUAUUAAGGUCAUAUUAAAAUUUCAUUAAGAAAUUUUGAUGUUUAAAUGGUUAAUUAGGUAAAAGGAUUAAAUUGUAAUAGGUAUAAAAGUUGAGUUCUAUUAAUUAAAAGGGCUAAAUGGCUAUGGAAAGGAAAGCUAAUGGAAUUAUAUGGCAAUUAUACCAUGUUUUAAGAUAGUGGAUUAUGAUGGGUAGGUUUUAUGGUAGUUUAAAUGAUUUAAUAAGGUUAAUAAGGUAAUUUAAUAAUUAAAUGAAAAACUAAAUAAAGAAAAGAUGAAACAAGUAUCAUCUUUCUCAUUCUUUCAUUCUAAAACCUAGAAACACCAUUAAAAAAGCUUGAAGCAUUCGAAUAGCAUUGUUCUUGUGCAUGGCAUGCAUAAUUGUCUCGUUUUUAAUGAUUUUUAUGUUUUUGAGAUCGUUUUAGCUUAAUCUAGCUAACCCGAGGGUUAAUUUGCAAAAUUGUUAAAGGUUGAGGGAUUUACCGUGAAUGCUUGUGAAUUAUUUUUUAUGUUAAUUGAUAGAUUAUGAAUCUUUGUUGAAAAAUAAACAUGUUUUGUUAAGUGAUUUUUGGUGAAAUUACAUUUAGGGAUUAAAUUGUUAAAAGUAUAAAUCCAUGGGUUUUAUUGUGAAAUGUUGGUAAAUGUGAGUUGCUCCAAGGUUCAUUUUGUCUAUGUUUAACAUGGAUUUAGGUUAAAAUGAUUAGAUUUUAAGUUGUGAGCUUAAGGACUAAAUUGUGAAAAAUUAAAAUAUUAGGGGUAAAUUGGUAAUUUUACAUAAAUAUAAACUAUGGAUUAAAUUGAAUUCUAGAAGUACUUAAUUGAUUGAAAUUAUCUAUUUAGAUCAAGAUAAACCAUGUUCGGACUUAAAUUGAGAAAAAGCAAAAGCUUCAGAUUAGUUCGACUAUAUUACUACACCCUGAUUAUCGAGGUAAGUUCGUAUGAAAUGUAAUCAUUUUAAUGUUAUCUAAAUUAAAUGUUUAUUAUUUCGUUUUAAUGUAAAUGAAUCAAUAUACAAAUGUAUCAAUGCUAUGAUGAAUUGACGGAUAUCGAGUCCUGGUUGAACCUUAAGAAUUCUUAGGAUACAAAUGACAUGUCAUUAGGGAUUUCAUGUUUCGGGUGCUGGCCUUGAAUGUCCUAUCGAUGUCCGAGGUCCUGCAUUUGUUGUGGAUUCUCCACAGCUCGUGUGAGCAACAUCGUGUAGCUUACAUUCCAACCCACAACUCGUGUGAGCAGACCCAUUUCACAGCUCGUGUGAGCAUUGAUGUAAAGGAAAUGUUACAGUUAUAUGUAGAGACAUACUUUGUGUGAGCUUUCUCGAGUAUCUGAUGUAAUUCUAGAUGGUCCAAUGGGUAAGAAAAGGGAACGAAAUGGUAAGUAUGCAAAUGGAUUGAAUCAUGACUUUAUAAAAGGAAUUAUGAACUAAAUGAUGUUAGUACAUAUGGAAAAAUUUACAUAUUUUAUGAUUGAUUUCAUUUGUAUCAUGGACAAGUAUACUAACUUGUGAGUUGGUGAUGUUGUUUAGGCUUUUAAUAAGCUUAUGGAAUUGGUGAUGAACUAUGUUUAAUCUUUGAAUUGCAUAAAUAACAUGUUAAGUUAUGUUUUAUUUUAUACGAGCUUACUAAGUACUCAUUGCUUAUGUAUUUUUUUCCUUUGUUUAAUAGUUUAUCAGAAGCUUGAUCGGUUUGGAAGCUCGUCGGAGACCUAUCACACUAUCCAGCAAACAAUUCGAUAGUUUUUGAGUAUUUUGGCCAAGGUUUAUAAUGGCAUGUAUAGGAUGUUUUGUAAUCAUGAUUUGGUGUGUUUAUGCUUUGAAUGUUAUGUUUGGUUUGGUUCACUUUAAUGCCUUACCAAGUUAUGUCAUUUUGGUCACUUUCAAAUGAUUGUAUAUAAGGUUCUUUUGGUAUGUUUGAAAUGCCUUGAUAAUGGUCAUUUGUGAUAUGAUUUGGUAGGUAUUUGAACUAGAUUUUAUGGAUGAAAUAAAGUAAUGUUGGCAUGUUUAGGUUAUCGAUGUUUGAAUUCAAUUGUGGUGCCUUUGAAUAACAUAUUGGUUAGGGGAAUUAAGUUGUUUGAAAUGGCAUGAUUAUGUGUUUUUGAAUGAUGCUUUAGUCUCUUGAAAGUGUGCACAAAGGGGUUGGUUAGUUAUGCAUGAAUUGGGUAUGAAAUAUCUUGAUUAUAGGUAAAUUUUGGGUUCACAAGGUCUGGCGACACUGUCGUAUGUCAUCUGAGGAUUGUUUAGGGUUCAAGUCAGUGAGUUACACGACCAAACACAUGACUUGGCACACAGGUGUAUGUGGCAACUUAAAGAGUUACACGGCCUAACACAAGGGUGUGUAACAUAGUCGUGUGACCCUAGUUAGUGAGUUACACGAGUUAGGACACGGGUGUGUCCCUUGUUCGAAAGUUACAUGGCCUAGGGCUAUCUUACAUGGUUGUGUGACUUCUGUUUUCAAUUUUUUUCUACUUUUUCCUAAGCUUUUCGUUUUGUUUCAAAUUAGUCUCGAAUUGCCUCAAAGUUGUUUUUAGGGCCUCGAGAGCUCGAUUUAGGGACAAAAUGCAUGUGAUUGAAUGGAUUAUGAUAUGUUUAAUUUAUUUAAAUAUUAUGAUGUUUAAAUAUUUUCGGUUGUAUUGUAAUGCUCUGUAAUCCUAAACCGGUGAAGGAGAUUAAUUAAGGGUAUUACAAUUUUUAUACUAUGUUGUAACUCCAAUUAGUAACCUCGUUAAAAAAAAUUAGAUGAUUGGGUUUAUAUUUUUUUUUUCAAAUCAAAUCAAAAGGUUGAGUUGAUAUUUUUUUUGUGUUCGACAAAUUAGUAAAAUAUAAGUAUUUUAAUAAUCAUAAUUCGUUUUCUAUAAAAAAAAUCCAUAGUUGACUAAAAAAAAAUUUGUAAUGAACUAAAACAUUACUUUAAUAAAAAAAACACUUAAUUAUAUAAAAAAAAAUACUAUUUUCAACUUUCUUUUACAGAACAUGGGUGUCUGUACAUAUUUCUAAUCAUACAUUUUUUUUAAGAAAAUUACAUUGAAGGUGAUUUAAUUAUGCUUAGGUGGUGUUAAGUGUUUGAUAAAAAAUAGGUUAUAGUUUAAAAAUUGAUAUAAUCAUAAAUUUAAUUUUUAAUUUUUAUAUAUUAUGUUAAUUUAGUUAUAACUUUAAAAAAAUUAACUCUAAUAUUUAUAUAUUAUUUUAAUUUUACUCAUAAUUUUAUUAAAAAAUCAAAAUAUAUAAAAAUAGGAUGAAUUAUCCAAAAAUACUUAUUUUUAACCAUAAUUAUCAGAUUAUGCUAAUUUUGAGAAAACAUGUUCAGCUGGAUGCAUUUUCAGUGAAUAUGGCAGGAAAAUGCUUCCAAUUUGAUGUGCUUUCAGCUUUGGCUAAAUGGUUAAAUGCUAGUGUUUUUAUCUUUGAAUUUCAUGUUCGAUUCUUUUCCUACUCAUAUUUAUAUUUUUUUAUUUUAUGUUGCUUUAAGCUUUUUAAAAUUUUAAUUAAUUUUGUUAUCAUAUUAGUUCUUUGGUUAGAUAGUUAGAUAAUUGUAAUUAUAUCCUUGAGUCUCAAGUUUGAUUUCUCUCCUACUUAUAUUUGUAUUUUUUUUAUUUCAUGUUACUUCAUCCUUUUUAAAUUUUUAAUUAAUGUUUUUUAACAUUUUAGUUUUUUCCUUAGAUGGUUAGAUGUAAUUACAUCUCAAGUUCGAUUCUUUUACUAAUCACAUUUGUAUUUUUUAUUUCAUGUUGCUUCAAGCAUUUUUUUAUUUUUAAUUAAUAUUUUUAGCAUGUUAGUUCAUUUCGUUAGAUAGUUAGAUAAUUGUGAUUACAUCCUUGAGUCUGAGGUUCAAUUAUUUUUAUAAGCAUAGUAAUGUAUUUUUAAUUUCAUAUUGUUUCAAACUUUUUUAUUUUUAAUUAUUUUUAUAAGCAUAUUAUUAUUAUUUUCAAUUAAUGAUAUUUACAAUAAUUAUUUAAUUUUAUAAAUAAAAUAAAUAUAUAUUUUCUGAAUUUACUCAUAAAUUUUAAAAAAUUCAAAACAUAUAAAAAUGUAUAAAUUUAAAAAAUAUACAGCCAUGAAAGGUUAGAUUUAAAAAUAUAGUACAACCAAAUCAAAGCAUCAACAACCACUAAAGAUACCACAAUAAAUGCAUAAAACAUGUUCGAACAAAACCAAAUGGCACCAACACAGACCAAAAAACAAUAAGGCCCGCAAAAUUACGUAAAGUUUAAUAUGAUUAAUAUAUUAUUUAAUGUCUAAGUUUUACUUGAUAAUAUUUUUUUAUUUGGUUUUUGUUGCAUAGUAACAAUAAUGUUAUUAUUCGAAAACUUAAAAAUUAUAUAAAAUAUAAUGUUUUUAAUUUCUUUUAUAAAAGUAAAAGAAAUUACGUCUCUCAAUGAAUUUUUUCCUUGAUUUUAUU
rnacentral:lncRNA from 1 species